UUUUUUUGUUUGUUUAUUUUGUCCUCAAUUUCUUUCAGUAAAUAAGUAGUAAAUAAAUAGUGCAUGCAUUGAUGAUGUAAAACUCAAAUUUUUUCUCUAUUUCAUUUUCGUUUGCUCGUUGAAGCAGAUCCCACCUCACAUGCUCCCAUUAUAUGAGAAGCAGAAGAAGUUGCAUGCAGCAGAAGUGAAGAAUGUUCUGACAUCGUUCGGCCAGAUAAUGCAGUCAAUUUUCUGCAAGAGUGUAGCACGUAUUUUGGUUGAAGCAAACUCCAUUGCUGCAACUUCCAAGGUACACAUGUUUGAAGGUGUUACUUUUGAUGUUCCAGCAAGCAAUGCAGCAGGAGCAUGUGACACCAGGGCUCCACCCCAAACUAGCCCUGCAGUUCACAUGGGUGCCACAACACAAGAAGCCGAGGUUGAGAUGGAAGCUGCAGGUUGUCCCGACACCAACCAGAAUGUGUAAGGGAACGCGACAAAAAACAAAAAAAAUCGACCUACGCACCAGCCCAGGACCACUAUGGAGACUGCAUACAUGGUUUGAUCUUUUUCGUUACCGACUCGUAGCGCAGCGGAAGUAGAGUCGAUGACGAACGGCGGUGCAGAUCCCCGCAGCUAGGAUUUACAACCUCCCAACCGCGAGGAUGUAUACCCUCAUCCGCCCUACGGACAGCCCUCCGGGAGGCGGUCGGACAGUCCCUCGGGCGGUGUCGUGGACAGCCCUUCGGGAGGACCCUCAAAACUCGGACAGUCACUCGGACAGCCCUUCGGGAGGAUUCACAGAACUCGGAACGUCACUUGGACAGCCCUUCGGGAGGCACUCUCAAAACAGCCCCUCGGGCAAAAGGAUCGAAACUACGACCUCUCUACGGGGUUGCACACAUACGGUGUCAUCUAUCCGGCAGGGCUUCGCCGUCCAGAACUAGUUCCCACCGGAACCCAGACAGCCUUUCGGCUCUAUGAAACUAUUUCGCUGGGAGAGAGAGAGAAGCCAGAUCAUGCAUGGCACUUGUAUGUGAGAAGGGAUGAUGGUUUGGGCAGCCCCUCACCUCCUAUUUAUAGGAAAACCAAGGGGUAGUGUGCCUCUACAAAUACCCAAAGUGCCCAUGCUUUAUGUCAUACAUAAGGGCAAAAUGGGGAGGCAAGUGGAGCACAAAAUGGUGGAAGGAAGCCACAUGGGGGCCCCCCAAUGGCACCAACGAAAUUGGCAGCCCUCUUGGGUGGCUCCACCACCUUCAUAUCCAUCCAUGUCAUCCCAAAAGAUCUUGGGACAAAGCCCAAAAUAAUGGCUUUCCAUAAAAUAUCCCUAAAAGCACUUUCACUAUUCACGACGACAUUUUUCGGCGUCCGUUCGAACUGAAAAUAUUCAUGUGGGCUUAGCAUUUCCGGUACCCACCAUAAUGAUUUUCAACGCAUUCUAGAACAAUUCCAGCUAGUGAUUUUCAUCUGCGAAAAGCAUCUGAACCGGUUCCGGCAGCUUCGAAACAUUUUCGGUUUUUAUUUCUGAAAAUUCCAAAAAGUUUCCAGAAUGACUCUGGCACCCUCCAAGAAUUAUCAGGCAUGUGCCGAAACCAUUUUGACUUAAUGGCAUACCCCGAAACAACUUUUUCGGUUUCACCAGAACUCAUCCUGUGACCUCUCUUUUCAGAACUUUCUGAUGUCUCCGAAAAACUUUUUCCGAAAACUUUCUCUCAGACUCCCUGUCUAGUAUUCAGCAGAUAGAUGACCCUUAAGCGUGUGACCCUAUAGGUUCGGUGAAGUAUAGACAUGACCAGGAACUCCUUCCGAUCAAUGAUCAACAUCGGAGCCGUGGACACCCAUAUUGACCCCUAUACCCACACGAAUGAAUAUUCGAGUGAACCUCCAGUUGACGUGUGUUAUUCCUGUUGCUUCGUGAUAUGUUACGAAUACCCGAGGUGAGACAUGUUGGCAUCCCUGUGGAUCAACUCCUUGUCCACUAUGCCAUUUACCUCGUUACCGGUAUUGUUCUCUUUUCUCGUUCCGUGUUUCGGCAUCCCCGUGAUCAAAUCACCCUUUGUCUGGCCAGACGAUGAUGGAUACCGUAACACCGAGAGGGCCCAGAGAUAUCUCUCCAUCGACGGAGGAGCAAAUCCCAAUCUUGAGCUAUCAAGUUACUUAACAUACCUUUCCAUGAACCCGUAAGCCGCCGUAAUAGCCACCCAUUUACGGAUGACGUUUAACAAACCCCAAAGUUCAUGAAGCAAGCAUGAAGAAACUCGAUACUCUCAUGGUCUAAGGAAUUAUGCAAACAUAAACUUCCUGUGUUAUUAAGCAUUAACUUGUGACGAAUGUAUCUCAUAGCAUAACAUCAAUUCGGGUCAAUUCAACACAAAUGUUCCUCUAACAUUGUGCCCUCAAAGUUGCUGGCAUAGACAUGCCCAUGAUCAGGAAAACAGAACCAUCAUGCAACACUUGAGCUAGUCUUAGAGGCCAGACUAGGAAUACAUUUUAUCAUUUAUUAUUCCCCACGUGCAUAUGAGUCUUCCUCCGAGCCUUGUUUUAUUUGCAGACUCGAGAACCAUAGCAGUUAUAGCAUGGAAUAUAAACCUAAUUAUGAACAGGGAGAUAAUCAAUAACAUUUAUUAUUGCCUCUAGGGCAUAUCUCCUACAGACUCCCACUUGCACUAGAGUCAAUAUCUAGUCAAUGCUAAUGCACUUUACACCUAUGGCAUACUGGUGUAGAAAAUGCUUCGCUUGUGGUAUAGCCUAAUGUCCAACGGAUCUGACGACUUCAGCUCCGUGUGUAUCUUUGCAUAUCCUCACAUUUUCACGCUUUCACAAAAUUCAUAUUUUGUGUGGACUUGGCUUUUAUGUAUGUGAAUCACAGGUCGAACUUGGAUUCCUCAGACUGAGUUAUGGAGAAACUACCUGGAGUAGUGUCCCAUUGACAAAAUCCAUCUUGGAACCAUACUAAGUUCAUGAAUGAACUAUAUGAUUCAACAUCUUGUUUGUCGCUUCUAAAGCGUCAACAUACUUAGUCAUUUGUUAUAGAAUUCGCCACAGUAUCCUGUUGGGAACAAUUUCCAACUAACGUGCCACCAUAUUGUGUAUUACACAAAACCCUUAACUUAAAUCGAAAAUCGCAUGGAGAAAAGAUGAAGACUGUAUCAAUGUAACAUUUUACAACGAACUCUUCAUGAUCUCCGCUUGCGAGAAAACAUAUCAUCAGUACUUACUCUAGUACUCAAUGACAUCUUUCACUGUUGUCCCACGAUCAGUACUUUGAUCACUUUAGUAUCCAUACUCGCAACACCUUGGGAGUAUCAGACAUAUCUGGUUGUUUUACAUAGCAUGGAAUACAUGAUUAAUCCAAACACAAAAGUGUGUGGAAUCUGCAUCAUGUAUUUUGCUCAUCAGUGUUUUGGGACACCGAGUCUUGCAAAAAACUCUUCCAUGUGACUCCGGCAAGAAUCACUCCUUGGCGGUUUUAAAUGCUAAAAGGUUUUAGCACCUUGUCAAUAUGUAUUCAUUUGCUUAGCCCUAUUAGGUAAAUCUAUCUCCAUAGAUCAUUAUGCCUAAUAUUGAGGCUAUUUAGCCUAAGCACUUCAUCAAAAAACUAUUUUCAAAUGAAGUCCUAAUUCGUGUGAAGAAAUUUAUUUCCAAUUAACAAUGUGUCAAGCACACAAGGUUUUUAGAAAUAUUAUUACGCUCUCACUUACUUUCUUGAAUUACAAGCAUCUUCGUUACCCAUUGAUGAAGUCAAACCCCUUUGACCAUUUCAUCAAAGCACGAAGAUUCCAACUCCAUUUUGCUCUCUUCUGUCCAUCGCUGGAACUCUGAAGUUUGCACCCUUACUAGCAUCCUCUGGAUAGACAAAAUGCCUUGGACUGUAACACAUGCAAGUCCUUGGUUUCAUUUCCAUCAGAUGGAAAUCCUAUUGUCAUCCAUGUUUCAUAUCUCAUGAUUGAAAUAUGUAUUAAUUGCUAGUUCAACCCGAACCGACUUAAAGCAUCGCUACAAUGAAAACAACCUCAUCGUAGUCAACUCUUGAACUUGUUAUUUCAACAAGUCGAGCUUUAUGGAUAAAACAUUCUUAUCCGUAUCAGUUUUAAGUUCCAUAAAUAUUCGUUAGACUCUAAGUCUUCCAAAAGGUGUAUCAAGGUUUUAAUCUUGAAUCACUUAUAUGGAAACUAACUCGGGUUGUAUUGGCAUUUAGCCAAUUCCAGAGUCAGGGCCCAUCAAAGCUUCCUUGUGUAUCGUAGGUAUAAUGUUGUCUAACAACAAUAUCUCGUUUGCGCACCUGAGAGGUUUGCACGAGCCUUGCCUACGUGGUUUAGCUGCAAGUUCGACCGAAGUUCAUACAUUUUAUUGUAGAGACUUCCGUAUCAGUCGCAGUAGGAAACUCUGGAAUUACUUCCAAGGUCUCUUUCCUUUGAUCUGAUGACGAAGAUACUGUUUAUCUCGUCGAGUUGCACUAUUCUCCCACUCACCUUUUUGAAAGAACCAUUCUCUUUAAAAGCACACCGUUUCGCGGCAAAACUAUUUGCCUCGGUAUAGUGAGGGAGGAAUACCCAACAUUUUGGUAUAACCUACAAAGUAGCACUUGUCUGAUUUGGAAUAGGUUUGUAACCUUUUACCCAAGACCCAUAUUCCAAAUGUUAAGAAAAGGUAUAACAUGGUUGGGCGUACCAUACCAUGGCUUCAUUUCAACAGACUCGAUGUAGCUCUUUUCAGUGUAAAAGCCGCAGUCUCUAAAGCAUCACUUUAAAAGGGAUAAUGGCAAAUUUAUUUAUGUCAUCUUUGACCUUACCAUGUCAUAAAUGGUUAGAUUACAUCUCCACGGACUUUCCACUUGCAGUGGUGUUCCGGGAGGUGCAAGUUAUGAAACCCCUUUCACAACUCAUCAGACAUUCGCUAAACAUGCAACUCAAAUAUUCCUUUGUGCAAUCAAAUUGCAGAAACAUAAUUUUCUUGUUACAAUAAAUUCUACUUCAUUUUUGAAAACCUUUCGAAUGAUUUCAAAAGAUCCAGACUUAUGUCUCAUCAAGUAAAUAUCCAUAUAUCUACUUGAGUCAUUUCUGAAGAUAAACAAAUCCACCACUUGCAACAACAUUUAUUGAACUACACACAUCAAAAUGUAUGAUCACCAAUAAGUUUGUUGCUCGUUCCUUAUGGCCCGUGAACGGUAUUUCAGUCACUUCACUUUUUGGAGGAAAGUUGCAAGUGUCAGAUGAUUCAAAAUCAAACGACUUCAAAAUCCAUCAUAAUGGAAUUUUUCCAUGCGGGUUUCUCCAAUGCGACCAAAUGCAGUGCCACACAUGUGUGGUAUUCUCAUAGUCUUGUGACAUUUAGCGUCAGCGUUAUGGUUGUAUCAUUUUACCAUCAAUAUUCAUAACAUACAUCCCAUCUUGGAUGGAAGCAUGGCCCUUCAUGUUAUUCAUAAUACUGAACAUCAAAAGUUCUCUUAUGAACAACCUUCUUGCAAGAUACCUUGUGCUAAGGGCUAGAGUGUAAGAAACUCUAAAAUGAACUAUGAAAGUAAACACAGAGGUAAUAUAUUAAUAUCAUUAUUUAUAACAUACAUCUCAUUCACAAUGAAAGUAUGGCCCUUAUGUUUAUUCAUAAUACUGAACAUCAAAAGUUCUCUUAUGAACAACCUUCUUGCAAGAUACCUUGUGCAAAGGGCUAGAGUGUAAGAAACUCUAAAAUGAAUUAUGAAAGAAAAUACAUAGGUAAUACACCGAUGGAAGGUAUAGUAACUUUUACUAUGUUCCCAACACGUAUUAAAACCUCAUUCCUGGCUAGUCUUUUUAGGCCAUAGUAGCUCUUACAUUGAUUCGCAACAUAAUGCAAUCGAGCGGGUAUCUUUGUGAUUAACUCACAAUACCCAAGAAUUAGUGAUUAACAUGUUUAACCAUAAUUCCCAAGAACUAUAUCUUUGACCAGCCUACUAUACAUCAAAAACUUGUAUGACAUUCAUACAUGAGCUGGAUAUUCCAGUCAUGUUUCUUUCUGCCUUUAUACUUCUAACAGUUUAACUUUUAGUAUUUCUCCUACUCGCAAAAGAAGCACCCAACUUAAGAGUGGCGUUAGCCCCGGACUUCCUAGGCGUGUAAGUCAUACUAACACCCUUUGGACACUUCCUUUCUCUUUAAGUUGUUGUUUUAUUCACCUUUCAUUAUAUGACAGGCGUUCUUCUCGAUCCCUUUCCCAACAGUCAAAUGCAUAGUAAACACUUUUACUAAUACUUGCAAACAAACAUUGCUUUGUUUGUAUCUGAAAAUAAUUUUCAGUUCCAUGAAUAUCAUAUAACUAUCCCAACUUUCGAAGUUUGGGUUUCAUGGAAGCAAACAUAUUCCACUUGACCGUAACAGAAUUCUAGCUUUUGGAUCGAAGGACGAGAGUCACAUGAUCCAUAGCAUUAGCGGGAGGAUACGGAAAGCAUGCGAUAGGACAAAGUCCUUCUCGGCACUUUUGAGGACAAUCCUCACAUUACGUUACCAAUCGUAAAGUUUUAACCAGAUAUUUAACAGCUAUUCAAUUUUAACAGGGAAGGUGGAAACGCGAGCCAUUAUUCUACAACUAUUUUGCAAGAAACACUUAGACAGUGUUCAUAAUUAAUUGCACUGAGAAUUAAACAUGUUAAUUCAAUAGUGCGCUCCCACUCAAAUCAAUAUCUCUCAAAAUUGAUUAUGAGUGACACAAGACCCGCAUAUCCAUUCAACGCCAUUGAACGAGAUGAACACUGAUGGCGCGAAAUUCAAUCGGUAGGCAAACUUGCUGAUCACAUCUCUAUGUGACUCUUGUUCAUCUUUCGAUGGACGUGUUCCGAGCUCAGGGAGAUCCUUCCAGAACAUCAAGACAACCAAGUGAUCUUGUUGUGAGGUCUCAACUCACCCGCCUCACACUUCCCUAAUCGUUCGUACCCAGGGAGAUCCUGCGAUACCCCGAAAAGUUAGGUGCUGUGACGGUGCUACACUUGGGAGAACACUAACUACUUGAUAUUUUUGUGAGAGAUCACCCUAAUAAAAGCGACUACCGCGCAAUCAAGAAGGGUGCAUCAUAAGGGAUAAACAUCUCAGGCAAUUCAUCAUUAGCAUGAUAUGGUAUAGCCCUUUCUGACGAGGAAGUCUUCUAUUUCUUCGUCUUUCGGCGUUCGCGUUGGUGUUUACCUUCGCGAAGAUUGCCACCACCUUGUCGAUGCACCAGAUAAUAUUGUUAUCUCUAUAGCUAAUAAAAUAAGUGCAUUACUUAAGGUUGACUCGCAGGUCAUUAAAGUGCAAUCAUAUGGCUCCAGCCAUCAUGCCGAAUCAUGACACACAUGUCAUGUUUAAUCAAUUUACAUUAUAUAGUCAUCUCAUACAUAAUCAAAUUAUUAUGAGCACUGCUAUACCACAUCAUAUGCACAUGCAAACCCUCCUGCAAAACCAAGUUAUACGUUUCUAAUUGGUUCAUGCAAAAACUUGUUUUUCGUGGCUUCUAAGGUUUCGAAACAAACCGAAGCUACCAACGUCCAUCAUCAAGUAUGAUUAUCCAUGUCGCUAGAUUAGCAUUGCGGGGUGUAUGAAACACGAGAUAAUAAAAUCUCGAGCCCCAUACUGAACUUCGUCAUAAGCAUGACCCCCGUGCAGAUCAUAUCUGCAUUGCCCUUUCGUCUGCUAAAUUUCAUCUUUGUUUUUAACUACGAUGGAAUUCAAUGAACUGUUAGCACUUCGUUGAUCAAUCAGGAUCGCAGAUUGCCAGAACAUUGAAACUCCACCAUACUGUUAUCAAGAUCAGAAAUAUGCAAAUUCCAGAGAAGCUACAAGAACAUCGGGUAACAGAUUUCAUCUGUCACCCGCAUAAAUAAUUUUCAGCAAUAGAUCUCAUCUACUACCUAAUUAUAUUAUGCAAUACCCAUACAUCUCUAUGUAUUCGAGAUCGCAACCUGCAUCUACGCAUAGCACGGCUCAUGAUGCCACUGUAAGGGAACGCGACAGAAUACAAAAAGUUUCCGACCUAUGCACCAGCUUGUUGGAAAUAUGCCCUAGAGGCAAUAAUAAAAUGGUUAUUAUUAUAUUUCCUUGUUCAUGAUAAUUGUCCAUUGUUCAUGCUAUAAUUGUAUUAACUGGAAAUCGUAAUACAUGUGUGAAUACAUAGACCACAACAUGUCCCUAGUGAGCCUCUAGUUGACUAGCUCGUUGAUCAAUAGAUGGUUAUGGUUUCCUGACCAUGGACAUUGGAUGUCAUUGAUAACGGGAUCACAUCAUUAGGAGAAUGAUGUGAUGGACAAGACCCAAUCCUAAGCAUAGCACAAGAUCGUGUAGUUCGUUUGCUAAGAGCUUUUCUAAUGUCAAGUAUCAUUUCCUUAGACCAUGAGAUUGUGCAACUCUCGGAUACCGUAGGAAUGCUUUGGGUGUACCAAACGUCACAACGUAACUGGGUGGCUAUAAAGGUACACUACAAGUAUCUCCGAAAGUGUCUGUUGGGUUGGCACGAAUCGAGACUGGGAUUUGUCACUCCGUAUGACGGAGGUAUCUCUGGGCCCACUCGGUAAUGCAUCAUCAUAAUGAGCUCAAUGUGACUAAGUAGUUAGUCACGGGAUCAUGCAUUACGAAACGAGUAAAGUGACUUGCCGGUAACGUGAUUGAAUAUUGGGAUACUGACGAUCGAAUCUCGGGCAAGUAACAUACCGAUUGACAAAGGGAAUUGUAUACGGGAUUGAUUGAAUCCCCGACAUCGUGGUUCAUCCUAUGAGAUCAUCGUGGAACAUGUGGGAGCCAACAUGGGUAUCCAGAUCCCGCUGUUGGUUAUUGGCUGGAGAGAUGUCUUGGUCAUGUCUGCAUGAUUUCCGAACCCGUAGGGUCUACACACUUAAGGUUCGAUGACGCUAUGGUUAUAGGGAAUAUAUGUACAUAGUUACCGAAUGUUGUUCGAAGUCCUAGAUGAGAUCCAAGACGUCACGAGGAGUUCCGGAAUGGUCCGGAGGUAAAGAUUUAUAUAUGGGAAGUCCCGUUUUGGACACCGGAAGUGUUCUGGGCAUUAUCGGUAACGUACCGGGACCACCUGAAGGGUUCGGGGGUCCACCGGGAGGGGCCACCAACCCCGGAGGCCUACGUGGGCCAAGUGUGGGAAGGGACCAGCCCCUAGGUGGGCUGGUGCGCCUCCCACAAGAGGCCCAAGGCGCAGGGAAGGGGGGAAGGGGGAAACCCUAGGCUCAGAUGGGCCUAAGGCCCACCUAGGGUGCGCCCCCCCUCUCUCCCCCUCUGCCCCCCCCCCCAGAUGCAUCUAGGGCUGGCCGCCACCCCUAGGGGGGGAACCCAAGAUGGGGGCGCAGCCCCUCCCCUUCCCCUAUAUAUAGUGGGGGUUUUGGGGCUGCCAUAGACACGAGUCUCCCUCUCUCUUGGCGCAGCCCUACCCCUCUCCCUCCUCGUCUCUCGCAGUGCUUGGCGAAGCCCUGCUGGAGUGCCACGCUCCUCCACCACCACCACGCCGUCGUGCUGCUGCUGGACGGAGUCUUCCCCAACCUCUCCCUCUCCCUUGCUGGAUCAAGGCGCGGGAGACGUCACCGGGCUGCACGUGUGUUGAACGCGGAGGCACCGUUGUUUUCUGCCGCGAUCUGAAUCGCUUCGUGUACGACUCAACCGACCGCGUUCUAGCAAUGCUUCCGCAUUGCGAUCUUCAAAGGCAUGAAGAUGCACUCCCCUCUCUCUCGUUGCUAGUUACUCCAUAGAUUGAUCUUGGUGAUGCGUAGAAAAUUUUUAAUUUCUACUACGUUCCCCAACAGUGGCAUCAUGAGCUAGGUCUAUGCGUAGAUUCUAUGCACGAGUAGAACACAAGUAGUUGUGGGCGAUGGUUUGUUCAAUUUGCUUACCGUUACUAGUCCUAUCUUGGUUCGGCGGCAUCGUGGGAUGAAGCGGCCCGGACCGACCUUACACGUACGCUUAUGUGAGACAGGUUCCACUGACUGACAUGCACUAGUUGCAUAAGGUGGCUAGCGGGUGUCUGUCUCUCCCACUUUAGUCGGAUCGGAUUCGAUGAAAAGGGUCCUUAUGAAGGGUAAAUAGCAAUUGGCAUAUCACGUUGUGGUUUUGGCGUAGGUAAGAAACGUUCUUGCUAGAAACCUAUAGCAGCCACGUAAAAACUCGCAACAACAAUUAGAGGACGUCUAACUUGUUCUUGCAGCAUAUGUCGUGUGAUGUGAUAUGGCCAAAAGGAUGUGAUGAAUGAUAUAUAAAUAUAUAUGUGAUGUAUGAGAUUGAUCAUGUUAUUGUAAUAGGAAUCACGACUUGCAUGUCGAUGAGUAUGACAACCGGCAGGAGCCAUAGGAUUGUCUUAGUUUAUUGUAUGACAUGUGUGUCAUUGAAUAACGCCAUGUAAUUACUUUACUUUAUUGCUAAACCGUUAGCCAUAGUAGUAGAAGUAAUAGUUGGCGAGACAACUUCAUGAAGACACGAUGAUGGAGAUCAUGGUGUCAUGCCGGUGACGAUGAUGAUCAUGGCGCCCCGAAGAUGGAGAUCAAAAGGAGCAAAAUGAUAUUGGCCAUAUCAUGUCACUAUUUGAUUGCAUGUGAUGUUUAUCAUGUUUUUACAUCUUACUUGCUUAGAACGACGGUAGCAUAAAUAAGAUGAUCCCUCGCUAAAAUUUCAAGAAAGUGUUCCCCCUAACUGUGCACCGUUGCGAAAGUUCGUUGUUUCGAAGCACCACGUGAUGAUCGGGUGUGAUAGAUUCUAACGUUCACAUACAACGGGUGUAAGCCAGAUUUACACAUGCAAAACACUUAGGUUGACUUGACGAGCCUAGCAUGUACAGACAUGGCCUCGGAACACAAGAGACCGAAAGGUCGAACAUGAGUCGUAUAGUAGAUACGAUCAACAUGAAGAUGUUCACCGAUGAUGACUAGUCCGUCUCACGUGAUGAUCGGACACGGCCUAGUUGACUCGGAUCAUGUAUCACUUAGAUGACUAGAGGGAUGUCUAUCUAAGUGGGAGUUCAUUAAAUAAUCAGAUGAACUUAAUUAUCAUGAACAUAGUCAAAAGGUCUUUGCAAAUUAUGUCGUAGCUUACGCUUUAGUUCUAUUGUUUAAGAUAUGUUCCUAGAGAAAUUUUAGUUGAAAGUUGAUAGUAGCAAUUAUGCGGACUGGGUCCGUAAACUGAGGAUUAUCCUCAUUGCUGCGCAGAAGGCUUAUGUCCUUAAUGCACCGCUCGGUGUGCUGAACCUUGAGCGUCGUCUGUGGAUGUUGCGAACAUCUAACAUACACGUUUUCUACGUGAUAGUUCAGUGCGUAAUGCUAACGGUUUAGAAUUGAGGCGCCGAAGACGUUUUUGAAACGUCGCAGAACAUAUGAGAUGUUCCAAAGACUGAAAUUGGGAUUUCAGACUAGUGCCCACAUCAAGAGGUAUGAGACCUCUGACAAGUUUCUUAAGCCUACAAACUAAGGGAGAAAAGCUCAAUCGUUGAGCAUGUGCUGAGAUUGUCUGAGUACUACAAUCACUUGAAUCGAGUGGGAGUUAAUCUUCCAUAUGAGAUAGUGAUGGUUCUCCAAAGUCACUGCCACCAAGCUACUAGAGCUUCGUGAUGAACUAUAACAGAUCAGGGAUAGAUAUGACGAUCCUUGAGCUAUUCGCGAUGUUUGACACCGCGAAAGUAGAAAUCAAGUAGGAGCAUCAAUUGUUGAUGGUUAGUAAAACCACUAGUUUCAAGAAGGGCAAGGGCAAGAAGGGAUACUUCAUGAAACGACAAAUCAGUUGCUGCUCUAGUGAAGAAACCCAAGGUUGAACCCAAACCCGAGACUAAGUGCUUCUGAAAUGAGGGGAACGGUCACUGAAGCACAACUACCCUAGAUACUUCAUAGAUGAGAAGGCUGGCAAGGUCGACAGAAGUAUAUUGGAUAUACAUUAUAUUAAUGUGUACUUUACUAGUACUCCUAGUAGCACCAGGGUAUUAGAUACCGGUUCGGUUGCUAAGUGUUAGUAACUUGGAGUAAACGCAGCGGAAUAAACGGAGACUAGCUAAAGGUGAGAUGACGAUAUGUGUUGGAAGUGUUUCCAAGGUUGAUGUGAUCAAGCAUCGCAUGCUCCCUCUACCAUCGAGAUUGGUGUUAAACCUAAAUAAUUGUUAUUUGGUGUUUGCGUUGAGCAUAGACAUGAUUGGAUUAUGUUUAUCGCAAUACGGUUAUUCAUUUAAGGAGAAUAAUGGUUACUCUAUUUAUUUGAAUAAUACCUUCAAUUGUCUUGCACCUAAAAUGAAUGGUUUAUUGAAUCUCGGUCGUAGUGAUACACAUGUUCAUGCCAAAAGAUAUAAGAUAGUAAUGAUAGUACAACAUACUUGUGGCAUUGCCAUUUGAGUCAUAUUGGUAUAAAACGCAUGAAGAAGCUCCAUGUUGAUGGAUCUUUGGACUCACUCAUUCUUGAAAAGAUUGAGACAUGCAAACCAUGUCUAUUGGUAUAUAUGCAUGAAGAAACUCCAUACAGAUGGAUCGUUUGGACUCACUUGAUUUUCAAUCACUUGAGACAUGCAAAUCAUACCACAUGGGCAAGAUGACUGAAAGGCCUCGUUUUCAGUGAGAUGGAACAAGAGAGCAACUUGUUGGAAGUAAUACAUUUUGAUGUGUGCAAUCCAAUGAGUGUUGAGGCACGCAGUGAAUAUCGUUAUGCUCUUACUUCACAGAUGAUUUGAGUAGAUUCUAAGUAUAUUUACUUGAUGAAACACAAGUCUUAAAUAUUGAAAGGUUCAAGUAAUUUCAGAGUGAAGUUGAAGAUCAUCGUGACAAGAGGAUAAAAUGUCUAUGAUAUGAUCAUAGAGAUAAAUAUCUGAGUUACGAGUUUGGUACACAAUUAAGACAUUGUGGAAAUUGUUUCACAACUAAUACCGCCUGGAACACCAUAGUGUGAUGGUGUGUCCGAACAUCGUAACUGCACCCUAUUGGAUAUAGUGCAUACCAUGAUGUCUCUUAUCGAAUUACCACUAUCGUUUAUGGGUUAGGCUUUAGGGACAACCGCAUUCACUUUAAAUAGGGCACCACGCAAUUCCGUUGAGACGACACCGUAUGAACUAUGGUUUAGAGAAACCUAAGCUGUCGUUUCUUCAGAGUUUGGGGCUGCGAUGCUUAUGUGAAAAAGUUUCAGGCUAAUAAGCUCGAACCCAAAGCGGAUAAUUGCAUCUUCAUAGGACACCCAAAAACAGUUGGGUAUGCCUCCUGUCUCAGAUCUGGAAGCAAAAGGGAUUGUUUCUAGAAUCGGGUCCUUUCUCGAGGAAAAGUUUCUCUCGAAAGAAUUGAGUGGGAGGAUGGUGGAGACUUGAUGAGGUUAUUGAACCGUCACUUCAACUAGUGUGCAGCAGGGCACAGGAAGUUGUUCCUGUGGCGCCUACACCAAUUGAAGUGGAAGCUGAUGAUAGUGAUCAUGAAACUUCAGAUCAAGUCACUACCAAACCUUGUAGGUCGACAAGGAUGCGUACUACUUGAUAGUGGUACGGUAAUCCUGUCUUGGAAGUCAUGUUAUUAGACAACGAUGAACCUAUGAGCUAUGGAGAAGCGAUGGUGGGCCCGGAUUCCGACGAAUGGCUCGAGGCCAUAAAAUCCGAGAGGAUCCAUGUAUGAAAACAAAGUAUAGACUUUGGAAGAACUACUUGAUGGUCGUAAGGCUGUUGGGUACAGAUGGAUUUUAAAAGGGAAAAUGGACAAUGAUGGUAAGUAUCACCAUUAAGAAAGCUCGACUUGUCGUUAAGAUGUUUUCCGACAAGUUCAAGGAGUUGACUACGAUGAGACUUUCUCACUCGUAGCCAUGCUAAGAGUCUGUUGAAAUUAUAUUAGUAGUUACUGCAUUAUUUAUGAAAUCUUGCAGAUAGGAUGUCAAAACAUUGUUUCCUCGACGAUUUUCUUGAGGAAAGGUUGUAUGUGAUACAACCAGAAGGUUUUGCCAAUCCUGAAAGAUGCUAACAAGUAUGCAAAGCUCCAGCGAUCCUUCUAAGGACUGGAGUAAGCAUCUCGGAGUUGGAAUAUGCACUUUGAUGAGAUGAUCAAAGAUUUUGGGUUUAUACAAAGUUUAUGAGAAACUUGUAUUUCCAAAGAAGUGAGUGGGAGCACUAUAGAAUUUCUGAUGAGUAUAUGUUGUUGACAUAUUGUUGGUCGGAAAUGAUGUAGAAUUUCUGGAAAGCAUAUAGGGUUGUUUGAAAAGUGUUUUUCAAUGGAAAACCUGUAUUAAGCUACUUGAACAUUGAGCAUCAAGAUCUAUAAGGAUAGAUCAAAGCGCUUAAUAGUACUUUCAAAUGAAUACAUACCGUGACAAGAUUUUGAAGGAGUUCAAAAUAGAUCGGCAAAGAAGGAGUUCUUGGCUGUGUUAUAAGGUGUGAGUAUUGAGUAAGACUCAAUACCUGACCACGGCAGAAGAGAGAGAAAGGACGAAGGUCGUCCCCUAUGCUUUAGACGUAGGCUCUACAGUAUGCUAUGAUGUGUACCGCACCUGAAGUGUGCCUUGACAUGAGUCAGUCAAGGGGUACAAGAGUGAUCCAGGAAUGGAUCAUAGGACAGCGGUCAAGGUUAUCCUUAGUAACUAGUGGACUAAGGAAAUUUUCUCGAUUAUGGAGGUGGUAAAAGAGUUCGUCGUAAAGGGUUACGCUGAUGCAAACUUUGACACUAAUCUGGAUGACUCUGAGUAGUAGACCGGAUUCGUAUAGUAGAGCAGUUAUUUGGAAUAGUUCCAAAUAGCGCGUGGUAGCUGCAUCUAGGAGAUGACAUAGAGAUUUGUAAAGCACACACAGAUCUGAAAGGUUCAGACCCAUUGACUAAUAACCUCUCUCACAAGCGAGAUAUGAUAAAACACCAUGGGUGUUGGAUUCAUUGCAAUCACAUAGUGAUGUGAACUAGAUUAUUGACUCUAGUGCAAGUGGGAGACUGUUGGAAAUAUGCCCUAGAGGCAAUAAUAAAAUGGUUAUUAUUAUAUUUCCUUGUUUAUGAUAAUUGUCUAUUGUUCAUGCUAUAAUUGUAUUAAUUGGAAACCGUAAUACAUGUGUGAAUACAUAGACCACAACAUGUCCCUAGUGAGCCUCUAGUUGACUAGCUCGUUGAUCAAUAGAUGGUUAUGGUUUCCUGACCAUGGACAUUGGAUGUCAUUGAUAACGGGAUCACAUCAUUAGGAGCAUGAUGUGAUGGACAAGACCCAAUCCUAAGCAUAGCACAAGAUCAUGUAGUUCGUUUGCUAAGAGCUUUUCUAAUGUCAAGUAUCAUUUCCUUAGACCAUGAGAUUGUGCAACUCUCGGAUACCGUAGGAAUGCUUUGGGUGUACCAAACGUCACAACGUAACUGGGUGGCUAUAAAGGUACACUACAUGUAUCUCCGAAAGUGUCUGUUGGGUUGGCACGAAUCGAGACUGGGAUUUGUCACUCCGUAUGACGGAGAGGUAUCUCUGGGCCCACUCGGUAAUGCAUCAUCAUAAUGAGCUCAAUGUGACUAAGUAGUUAGUCACGGGAUCAUGCAUUAUGGAAUGAGUAAAGUGACUUGCCGGUAACGUGAUUGAACGAGGUAUUGGGAUACCGACGAUCGAAUCUCGGGCAAGUAACAUACCGAUUGACAAAGGGAAUUGUAUACGGGAUUGAUUGAAUCCCCGACAUCGUGGUUCAUCCGAUGAGAUCAUCGUGGAACAUGUGGGAGCCAACAUGGGUAUCCAGAUCCCGCUGUUGGUUAUUGGCCGGAGAGAUGUCUCGGUCAUGUCAGCAUGAUUCCCGAACCCGUAGGGUCUACACACUUAAGGUUCGAUGACGCUAGGGUUAUAGGGAAUAGAUGUACGUGGUUACCGAAUGUUGUUCGGAGUCCCGGAUGAGAUCCAGGACGUCACGAGGAGUUCCGAAUCGGUCCGGAGGUAAAUAUUUAUAUAUGGGAAGUCCCGUUUUGGACACCGGAAGUGUCUGGGCAUUAUCGGUAACGUACCGGGACCACCUGAAGGGUUCGGGGGUCCACCGGGAGGGGCCACCAACCCUGGAGGCCUGCGUGGGCCAAGUGUGGGAAGGGACCAGCCCCUAGGUGAGCUGGUGCGCCUCCCACAAGAGGCCCAAGGCGCAGGGAAGGGGGGAAGGGGGAAAACCCUAGGCUCAGAUGGGCCUAAGGCCCACCUAGGGUGCGCCCCCCCCCUCUCUCCCCCUCUGGCCGCUCCCCCAGAUGCAUCUAGGGCUGGCCGCCACCCCUAGGGGGGAACCCUAGAUGGGGGCGCAGCCCCUCCCCUUCCCCUAUAUAUAGUGGGGGUUUUGGGGCUGCCAUAGACACGAGUCUCCCUCUCUCUUGGCGCAGCCCUACCCCUCUCCUUCCUCGUCUCUCGCAGUGCUUGGCGAAGCCCUGCUGGAGUGCCAUGCUCCUCCACCACCACCACGCCGUCGUGCUGCUGCUGGACGGAGUCUUCCCCAACCUCUCCCUCUCCCUUGCUGGAUCAAGGCGCUGGAGACGUCACUGGGCUGCACGUGUGUUGAACACAGAGGCACCGUUGUUCGGUGCUUAGAUCGGAUUCGGCCGCGAUCUGAAUCGCUUCGUGUACGACUCCACCGACCGCGUUCUUGCAACGCUUCCACAUCGCGAUCUUCAAGGGUAUGAAGAUGCACUCCCCUCUCUCUCGUUGCUAGUUACUCCAUAGAUUGAUCUUGGUGAUGCGUAGAAAAUUUUGAAUUUCUGCUACGUUCCCCAACACAGCCCAGGACCACUAUGGAGACUGCAUACAUGGUUUGAUCUUUUUCAUUACCGACUUGUAGCGCAGCGGAAGUAGAGUCGAUGACGAACGGCGGUGCAGAUCCCCGCAGCUAGGAUUUACAACCUCCCAACCGCGAGGAUGUAUACCCUCAUCUUCCCUACGGACAGCCCUCCAGGAGGCGGUCAGACAGUCCCUCGGACGGUGUCGCGGACAGCCCUUCGGGAGGACCCUCAAAACUCGGACGGUCACUCGGAUAGCCCUUCGGGAGGAUACACAGAACUUGGACCGUCACUUGGACAGCCCUUCGGGGGGCACUCUCAAAAGAGCCCCUCGGGCAAAAGGAUCAAAACUACGACCUCUCUACGGGGUUGCACACAUACGGUGUCAUCUAUCCGGCAGGGCUUCGCCGGCCAGAACUAGUUCCCACCGGAACCCAGACAGCCUUUCGGCUCUACGAAACUAUUUCGCUGGGAAGGAGAGAGAAGCCAUAUCAUGCAUGGCACUUGUAUGUGAGAAGGGAUGAUGGUUUGGGCAGCCCCUCACCUCCUAUUUAUAGUAAAACCAAGGGUUAGUGUGCCUCCUCAAAUACCAAAAGUGCCCAUGCUUUAUGUCAUACAUAACGGCAAAAUGGGGAGGCAAGUGGAGCACCAAAUGGUGGAAGGAAGCCUCAUGGGGGCCCCCCAAUGGCACCAACGAAAUUGGCAGCCCUCUUGGGUGGCUCCACCACCUUCCUAUCCAUCCAUGUCAUCCCAAAAGAUCUUGGGACAAAGCCCAAAAUAAUGGCUUUCCAUAAAAUAUCCCAAAAAGCACUUUCACUAUUCACGACGACAUUUUUUGGCGUCCGUUCGAACUGAAAAUAUUCAUGUGGGCUUAGAACAUUUCCAGUACCCACCAUAAUGAUCUUCAACAGGUUCUGGAACAAUUCCAGUUUAGUGAUUUUCAUCUGUGAAAAGCAUCUGAACCGGUUCCGGCAGCUCCGAAACAUUUCCGGUUUUUAUUUCUGAAAAUUCCAUAAAGUUUCCAGAAUGAUUCUGGCACCCUCCAAGAAUUAUCAGGCAUGUGCCAAAACCAUUUUGACUUAAUGGCAUACCCCGAAACAACUUUUUCGGUUUCACCAGAACUCAUCCGGUGACCUCUGUUUUCAGAACUUUUCUGAUGUCUCCGAAAAACUUUUUCCGAAAACUUUCUCUCAGACUCCCUGUCUAGUAUUCAGCGGAUAGAUGACCCUUAAGCAUGUGACCCUAUAGGUUCGGUGAAGUAUAGACAUGACCCGGAACCCCUUCCGAUCAAUGAUCAACAUCGGAGCCGUGGACACCCAUAUUGACCCCUAUACCCACACGAAUGAAUAUUCGAGUGAACCUCCAGUUGAUGUGUGUUAUUCCUGUUGCUCCGCGAUAUGUUAUGAAUACCCGAGGUGAGACAUGUUGGCAUCCCUGUGGAUCAACUCCUUGUCCACUAUGCCAUUUACCUCGUUACCGAUAUUGUUCUCUUUUCUUGUUCCGUGUUCCGGCAUACCCGUGAUCAAAUCACCCUUUGUCUGGCCAGACGAUGAUGGAUAUCGUAACACCGAGAGGGCCCAGAGAUAUCUAUCCAUCGAUGGAGGAGCAAAUCCCAAUCUUGAGCUAUCAAGUUACUUAACAUACCUUUCCAUGAACCCGUAAGCCGCCGUAAUAGCCACCCAUUUACGGAUGACGUUUAACAAACCCCAAAGUUCAUGAAGCAAGCAUGAAGAAACUCGAUACUCUCAUGGUCUAAGGAAUUAUGCAAACAUAAACUUCCUGUGUUAUUAAGCAUUAACUUGUGACGAAUGUAUCUCAUAGCAUAACAUCAAUUCGGGUCGAUUCAACACAAAUGUUCUUCUAACAUUGUGCCCUCAAAGUUGCUGGCAUAGACAUGCCCAUGAUCAGGAAAACAGAACCAUCAUGCAACACUUGAGCUAGUCUUAGAGGCCAGACUAGGAAUACAUUUUAUCGUUUAUUAUUCCACACGUGCAUAUGAGUCUUCCUCCGAGCCUCGUUUUAUUUGCAGACUCGAGAACCAUAGCAGUUAUAGCAUGGAACAUAAACCUAAUUAUGAACAGGGAGAUAAUCAAUAACAUUUAUUAUUGCCUCUAGGGCAUAUCUCCUACAGACUCCCACUUGCACUAGAGUCAAUAUCUAGUCAAUGCUAAUGCACUACUAUCGGGGAUAUACCACGCGGUAUGACCCGGCCGGAAGUAAGACCCGGCCGGACUUGGCGGCUCACAGAGACCCGGCGAGUAUUUGGGGACUUACUGAUAACCCCAACGGCGGAUCAGGCGGACGACAAGGCCCAAGGCCCAGCAGGCUGGCUUAUACUCUGGUGGGCCGGCUUAAGGAGAAAGGGAUGACGAAUAUUUCCUUUACGAGGAAGCAAGACCCGGACUUGUAUUCAACUUGUAAGAAAAGAUAGACUAGUCCUAGUCCUACUAGGACUCCGCAUGUAACCCACCCCUCUAACUUAUAUAAGGAGGGGCAUGGCACCCCAAAGAGGGACAGGCAAUAAGAAACGAUCUCUAGGGCUAGACACAAAGAGCCGGCCAAGCUGGCGACUCUCUCAUGAUCAUAAUGAGACCUAACCACAAACAGCAUGUAGGGCUAUUACCGGAUGAUGUUUCCCGGGGCCCGAAGCUGUCUAAAUCCUUGUCUUGUGUUGCGUCUCUCGAUUCCGCUCAACCCCUCUCAAGCUACUACAAAGAUGCGUUGGCCUCACGACUAAGUCCUCACACUAGGACAUCUGCCGUGACAAUUCCACGACAGUUGGCGCCCACCGUGGGGCCAGCGCAUGGUGGAUUUGAGUUCUUGAAGGGCGGCUUCGAAGGGCUCAAGGGAUACGCUGUGGGCCGGAUGACCAAGAGUCAUCGCGGCAAGCUCUACAUUGACGAUGCGACCUGGGGCCCCGACGCCGGCUCAAUCGAGUACGGGUACCGGGUCCCCUUCGGCGGAAUCCAUGUCUUCAUUGGCAAAAUUGGUGAGCCGGGUCUUGAGCCGGAGCUCUGCACCGAUCUCAUCGAGACGGCUCAGCGUCCACGACCCGCCCGGGCUCUACCUGCCUUGAAGCACACUUUCGUGGGAUGUGUCCAUGGAGGACUCUCCAAAGGAUCUGGAUCUGGUGAUGAGACGGCCGCCAGCUCUGACGGCGAGUCGGCUACGGAUGAGUCAAACUCGUUAUAUCAACUCCAGGAUGGCAGGCUCGGGGGCUGUUCCGACAGCGACAGUAUUCCGGACCCUUUUGAGCCGCCAAGCCGGGUUGGAAUCUUUAUGGCCGGUGCACAGCCUGUUCAAAACCCUGCCGCCGGGUCAGGAAACCCGGUGCCCUCGCCGACUCAGGUGCUAAUGGAUCUCACGGACAAGAUGACGGCCCUGUUGACCGCUACGGUUGACCCGGUGGAUCAAGCUCAGCACGACGCGGAGGUGGCACAGUUGAAGUUAGAUCUAGUAAAAGCCAAGGAGGAUCUGGCGGCGGAAGGGAUUAGGAUGGCUGCGGAGAGGGCGGCUCUCGACGCCCAAACUCAGCUGAUUCAGGCACAAUCUUUCCGUCUCACGAUGGAUCAAAACGCGUCCCAUGAGGUCAUGAGAAGGAGCCACCACAAGACCCAAUCUCGACUCCCUCCGGUUUACGAUCCUCGAAACCUCUUCAACACGCCUGGUGCAGGGCCUAGUAACCCGCCAGAGAUCAUAACACCCGGGACUGGAACACCAAUUCAACCCCAAGUGAUGGGGCCUCCCCGGGUGAACCCUGCCCCACCUCAGUAUGUGCCAAUACCCCUGGGUCAUUAUGCCAACCCGUUGGAAAACAUGGUCGCCGCGGCGGCGCGGCUGGCGGCUCUCCCAAUUGACGGUGACUCUCCAACAGCGGUUGAAACCCGCCGGGUCAGAGAACUCCUUCAGACGGCUCUGGCGCAGCAAGAGGCGUAUUCUUACAGCCGGGACAGGAUUCAUUCAACCCCUCGUCCAGGCCGGAGUCCGAGUUAUAGCAGACACAUAGCCUCAGCGACCGGCUCAAGUAAUGUCCGACGCCAUAACUUGCCUCCUGGCCACGGCCCGGCUCAUAAUGGAGCUCUUCAUGCGGUAGACCAAGACCGAGCACGGCAAGAGGAGGAGCAGAUGCCUCAGUUGACGGCUUACCAACCACCCCCGGCUUACCCGACGGCUUCCGUCGACGUGGGUAUACCUGCGAGGACCGGAGGUGUCCCUUGUCUGGUUCCGGCUCUUCGCAGUGAACGCCUACCCAAGGACUUCAAAGGGCCUAGGAUGGUGCCUAACUACACAGCUGAUCUACAACCCGGAGCCUGGAUCGAGAGUUACGAGAUGGCCAUGGAGUUGCUGGAGGUUAGCGAAGCGGCGAUGGCCAAGUACUUCACCAUGAUGUUAGAUGGGACCGCCUGCACUUGGCUGAAAGGGCUGCCACCCAAUUCUAUCGGGUCUUGGGCUGAGCUGAAAGCCCGGUUCAUCCAAAACUUCAAGGAUACCUGUAGGCAGUCUAUGUCAAUUGUGGAUUUGACUAACUGUAAGCAGCAGGAGGGUGAGUCUACAACCCAUUGGGUUCGCCGGGUCAAAGAGAUAAUACAUUCAUCUGAUAAGAUGGACGCCGGCUCUGCAGUCUUAAUGUUGGAACAGAAUUGUCGUUUCUUGCCCCUGAAGAUGAAACUCGGGCGGCUCAAGCGUGAUUGCAAUGAUAUGGGUAUGCUGAUGGCGGCUCUCGUCAAGUAUGCCGACUCUGAUAGUACCAAGGACCCCGCGUCGGAUGAUGAAAGGACAGGGAAGGGAAAGAAGAACGGCAAUGGCAAGGGUCCUCAGCAUAACCCGGCAAACCAAGGAGGUGGCAAGCGUAAGGCCGACGGCAGCCUAGAGUUUGUGGCCAACGCCAGCUCACAGGGUAACAACCAGCGACGCAAGGGGAGACCACCUCCCCGAGCCGGCGGGUCAGGCCCGACGCUUGAGCAGUUGUUGAAUGAGCCUUGUCCAAGGCAUGGCUCUAGGGAGAAGCCAGCUACUCAUCUAUGGAAAGAUUGCGCAAUCAUGAAGGCCUUUAAGAAUUCCAAUGCCUUUAAUGGCAACAAUGGCUCGGGCGGCGGCUCGGGCGCUGGCGGUUUUCAUGGCCCGGGCGGCGGCUCACAUUCUAAUCCUCAGAACGGUCAAGGGGGCUUUAAUCAGCAGUCCGGCCAAGGUCAUCAACAGCAGCAGGGGGGUUACUAGACCAAUCCAAAGCAGCUCAACGGUGGGCAGUAUCAUGUGUUUACCACCAAUCUGUGUAAGCGAGAUCAGAAGCUUCAUAAGAGGGCUGUAAAUGCUGUUGAGCCGGCGGUUCCACGCUAUUUAAGAUGGUUUGAGCAGCCUAUUGUGUGGAGUAGGGAGGAUCACCCUCCCCGGGUUGAUAACCCGGGUCACCUGGCCUUGGUGGUGGCCCCUCAGGUGGGAGGAUAUAAAUUCACUAAGGUUCUCAUGGAUGGAGGCGCAUCAACAUCCUCUAUUAUGAGACUUUCCGCCGUAUGGGAUUGAUUGAUAAGAAUCUCAGCCAGUCCAAUACUGUUUUCCAUGGCGUGGUGCCUGGUAAGUCGGCGUAUCCAGUGGGCAAGAUUGAGCUGGAAGUGGCUUUUGGAGACGAGUACAACUACAGGGUAGAAAAAUUAACCUUUGAGGUGGUUAAGAUAAGAAGUCCGUAUCAUGCUAUAUUUGGGCGGCCGGCUUACGCUAAGUUCAUGGCGCGGCCGUGUUACGUGUAUUUGCAGCUCAAGAUGCCGGGUCACAAUGGGACCAUUAUGGUUCAUGGCAGCCGGAAGGUAGCCUUGGAGUGUGAGGAAGGCGAUGCGGCUUAUGCAGAAUCUGUUUGUGCAACAGAGGAGUUGAAGUUUUACAAGGAAUAUGUUGACCCAACAGAUAUGACAUCUCUGAAAAAGCCGACCACGGAGCAUGAGCCGACAAUCAAAUUUAAGUCGGCUGAUGAGACUAAACUUGUUGAUUUCGUUCUAGGUGAUUUAUCUCAGCAGUUUAGCAUCAGUGCCAAUCUGGAUCCAAAAUAGGAAAGCGCGCUCAUCGAGUUCAUCCGUGAGAAUAGGGACAUUUUUGCAUGGAAACCUUCGGACAUGCCAGGUGUACCUAGAGAACUCGCUGAGCACACUCUUAAUGUUGAUCCGAAAUUCAAGCCGGUCAGGCAAUUCCUUCGGCGGUUUAAUGAGGAGAGGCGGAAAGCCAUUGGAGAAGAGGUGGCCCAGCUCUUGGCGGCCGGGUUUAUUGUUGAAGUCUUUCACCCAGAGUGGUUAGCUAACCCGGUGCUCGUGCUCAAGAAGAAUGGCACCUGGCGGAUGUGUGUGGACUACACGGACUUAAACAAGGCAUGUCCAGCUGAUCCUUUUGCCCUCCCCCGUAUUGAUCAAAUCAUCGAUGCUACGGCGGGUUGUGAGCGCUUAAGUUUCCUGGAUGCUUAUUCUGGAUACCAUCAGAUUAAAAUGGCAGUUAAAGACCAGGAGAAAACGGCGUUCAUCACUCCCUUUGGAGCCUUCUGUUAUGUGUCUAUGCCUUUUGGACUCAAGAGUGCACAGGCGACUUAUCAGCGUUGCGUGCAGAACUGUCUUCAUAACCAGAUUGGGCGCAAUGUUCAUGCCUAUGUGGAUGAUAUUGUGGUUAAGUCCAGGGAGAAGGAAACCUUGAUAGAUGAUCUGAGAGAAACCUUUGAUAACCUCCGGGUCUACAAGAUGAUGCUUAACCCGGCCAAGUGUGUUUUUGGUGUUCCUGCAGGCAAGCUCUUGGGUUUUCUGGUUUCUCAUAGAGGCAUUGAAGCUAACCCGGAGAAGAUCAAGGCAAUCACCUCUCUGGCUAAGCCGGCGUGUAUAAAUGACGUCCAGCGCCUGGCGGGUCGUAUCGCUGCUUUAAGCCGGUUUAUAAGCCGUUUGGGUGAAAAGGCCAUGCCACUGUACCAGUCGAUGAAGAAAACUGAUGAUUUUAUCUGGAAUGAUGCUGCUAAUGCUGCUUUUGAGGAUUUGAAGAGACAGCUGGCUGAGCCCCCAGUCCUUGCUGCUCUGGUUGAUAAGGAGCCCUUAUUACUGUAUGUAGCUGCUAACACACGAGCCGUCAGUGUGGCUGUGGUGGUGGAGCGCAAGGAAGAGGGUAAGGAGUAUCCGGUUCAGCGGCCGGUUUACUACGUCAGCGAAGUACUCAUAGAGUCCAAACAGCGGUAUCCACAUUGGCAGAAGCUUGUUUAUGGGGUGUUCAUGGCAAGCCGGAAGCUUAAGCAUUAUUUUCAGGGUCACCCCAUGACUGUGGUUAGUUCUGCUCCCCUUGGAGAUAUCAUCCAAAGCAGAGAAGCUACAGGAAGAGUGGCUAAGUGGGCUAUAGAGCUUGGGCCUCAUGGUCUGAAAUACGUACCACGCACUGCCGUCAAAUCUCAAGCUUUGGUGGAUUUCAUCAACGAUUGGACAGAGCUACAGGUGCCUGAAGAAAAGCCAGAUAAUACAUAUUGGACUAUUCACUUCGAUGGGUCUAGGCAAUUGGAGGGCUCGGGGGCUGGAGUUGUAUUGGCUUCCCCUAAAGGUGACAAGUUUCAUUAUGUGCUACGGUUGAUGUUUCCUUGUACUAACAAUGCGGAUGAGUACGAGGCCUUGCUCCAUGGUCUUCGGAUGGCGAAGGAGAUGCGCCUGAGCCGGGUAAGGUGCUUCGACAAUUCCGAUUUAGUGGCUCAACAAGUAUCAGGCAAGUGGGAUUCCAAGGACCCUCUCAUGGCGGCUUAUCGCCGUGAAGUUGAUGCCAUUGCUGGGCACUUUCAGGGUUACCAAGUAGAGCACAUCGAUCGCAGGAAGAAUGAGGCGGCUGAUGCAUUAAGCCGGCUGGGCUCCCAGCGAAAGCCGGUGCCGCCUAAUACCUUCCUGGACAUCUUACAUAACCCUUCUGUCAAGUUGCCUACAGAAGAAGACUUGGCUGUUCCUGACCCGGAGGCACAAUUGGUGGCGGCUCUCCACAUCACCCCAAACUGGACAGUCACUACAGGAAUCAGCUAUUUUGCCGUCCGCCAUGGCGGACGGCAAAGGCAUGAACGGCGGACAGCAAAGGCCUUUGCCGUCAGCCGCGGACGGCAAAAGGCUCCGGCAAAGUAGGCUACGGUAAACAGCUACUUUGCCGUCUGCUUCCUGGCGGCUGACGGUAAAGGCCCUUUGCCGUCUGCCGCGGACGGCAAAGAGAGCAGACGGCAAUAAUUGUGCUCUCAGUCCGUUAAGUGGCUAACGGCAGGCCUUUGCCGUCCGCCGCGGACGGCAAACUUUCUAGUGCCUUUGCCGUCCGCUUCCGCCUCGCCCGCUUCCGCCUCGCCCGCCGCAUCGGCCGCCCCCGCUUCCGCCUCGGCCUGUGGCGCCACUUCCGCCUCGGCCGCCGCGUCGCGUCGCGUCGGCCGCCCCCGCUGAGGCGCUGNNNNNNNNNNNNNNNNNNNNNNNNNNNNNNNNNNNNNNNNNNNNNNNNNNNNNNNNNNNNNNNNNNNNNNNNNNNNNNNNNNNNNNNNNNNNNNNNNNNNNNNNNNNNNNNNNNNNNNNNNNNNNNNNNNNNNNNNNNNNNNNNNNNNNNNNNNNNNNNNNNNNNNNNNNNNNNNNNNNNNNNNNNNNNNNNNNNNNNNNNNNNNNNNNNNNNNNNNNNNNNNNNNNNNNNNNNNNNNNNNNNNNNNNNNNNNNNNNNNNNNNNNNNNNNNNNNNNNNNNNNNNNNNNNNNNNNNNNNNNNNNNNNNNNNNNNNNNNNNNNNNNNNNNNNNNNNNNNNNNNNNNNNNNNNNNNNNNNNNNNNNNNNNNNNNNNNNCGCCUGCCCCCCGCUGCCGCCUCGCCUGCCCCGCGUGCCCCGAUGCCUCGCGGUCAACGCUGCCAUCUCGUCUUCCGCGCGCCGCCAUCUCGUCUUCCGCACGCCGCCAUCUCAUCUUCCGCGGCCCGGCGCCUCCCUGCCGCAGUUUAAUGCCCCGCCCCGCCCCGCCACGGCGCCUCAUCUCCCUGGCGCUAUAAAACCCGCCCUGCGCGGCGAGUUUGGUCACACCGCCCAUCCAUCCCUCCUCUCCCUCUUCACACGCGCGUUCUCUUCGUGGGAUGGCGUCCAGCGACUCGGACUCCGACGGCGCGGCACCGGGCGGCCACUGGCCGUCGAGCCUCACGUUGGGGCAGACGGAGGACCUCGCUCGGUUCUGCCUCUACGUGCCACCGGCGGCGAAGGUGCCGCGGCCGUGGAGGAUCUCCGCGGACGGAUUCCCCACGCAGGGCGUACCGGCGACCAAGGCAGAGCUUCGCGCGCACCCCGGGGGACGCUACAACCGAAAGGGCCGCCGCCAUUUUUGGAAGGGCAAGCGGUUCGACAACGUCAUCGGCGCCUUCAAGCGCGCCGCCCGAGGGCUCCCUGUCGGUGAUCUCUCUGGUGGAGCCGGGCCCUCCCAGCCGCGCGGGCGCCCCCCUCCUCCCACCCCCGCCCCAGCAGCCCCGGCCGACGUUGUGAUCCCGUCGGAGUAGGCGGCGCUCCAGCAGGACGGCGACCCGGAGGACACGCCCGGGCUCCUCGCGAUCCUGGCGCAGUCUGCGGAGGAGGCUGCCGCGGCCGCGGCGCUGGAGGCCCAGGAGGAGGCGGCGCAGCAGGCGGCGAUGGCGGCGCAGCAGGCGGCGAUGGCGCCGCCAGAGUGGCAGCAGGUGCCGCCGGAGUGGCAGCAGGAGUGGCAGCAGGCGCCGGCGGCGGAGGAGGAAGAGGAUUCGGACGACGUCCCGGUGGACUGGGACGACGUCGCGAACCGGUCCAGCAGCGACGACGGCGGCAACGGCCCGACCGUGAUUGACCUCGAUAGCGAUGCCGAGUAGUUUUUUUAGUAUUUAUGUACGAACUAGACUUUAUGUACGAACUUUUUUUAGUGUGUUGUUUGCGGACCUAAAACAAAACUAAAACUAAACCUAAAACUAAAAAAACAGAAGAAAAAAAAAGGAAAAUAGGGGGUAGAGCUCACCUGGGGCAGAGCCNNNNNNNNNNNNNNNNNNNNNNNNNNNNNNNNNNNNNNNNNNNNNNNNNNNNNNNNNNNNNNNNNNNNNNNNNNNNNNNNNNNNNNNNNNNNNNNNNNNNNNNNNNNNNNNNNNNNNNNNNNNNNNNNNNNNNNNNNNNNNNNNNNNNNNNNNNNNNNNNNNNNNNNNNNNNNNNNNNNNNNNNNNNNNNNNNNNNNNNNNNNNNNNNNNNNNNNNNNNNNNNNNNNNNNNNNNNNNNNNNNNNNNNNNNNNNNNNNNNNNNNNNNNNNNNNNNNNNNNNNNNNNNNNNNNNNNNNNNNNNNNNNNNNNNNNNNNNNNNNNNNNNNNNNNNNNNNNNNNNNNNNNNNNNNNNNNNNNNNNNNNNNNNNNNNNNNNNNNNNNNNNNNNNNNNNNNNNNNNNNNNNNNNNNNNNNNNNNNNNNNNNNNNNNNNNNNNNNNNNNNNNNNNNNNNNNNNNNNNNNNNNNNNNNNNNNNNNNNNNNNNNNNNNNNNNNNNNNNNNNNNNNNNNNNNNNNNNNNNNNNNNNNNNNNNNNNNNNNNNNNNNNNNNNNNNNNNNNNNNNNNNNNNNNNNNNNNNNNNNNNNNNNNNNNNNNNNNNNNNNNNNNNNNNNNNNNNNNNNNNNNNNNNNNNNNNNNNNNNNNNNNNNNNNNNNNNNNNNNNNNNNNNNNNNNNNNNNNNNNNNNNNNNNNNNNNNNNNNNNNNNNNNNNNNNNNNNNNNNNNNNNNNNNNNNNNNNNNNNNNNNNNNNNNNNNNNNNNNNNNNNNNNNNNNNNNNNNNNNNNNNNNNNNNNNNNNNNNNNNNNNNNNNNNNNNNNNNNNNNNNNNNNCGUCGGCGAGGAGAGAGAGGGAGAGAACAGAGAGUAACGGGCGGGGGGGUACGGGCCGUUAGGUAGUCUCCUCUUUGCCUGUUUGCCGUCUGCUGGCAGACGGCAAAGAGGUGGGGCGUUAAGUUUUUUCCAAACGAGCGGGGGGUGGGGGCCACCUCUCUCUUUGCCGUCUGCCAGCGGACGGCAAAGAAUCUUUGCCGUCCGCUGGCGGACGGCAAAGAGCCCGCAGAUGGCAAAGAGCUUCUUUGCCGUCUGCCAUUUCUUUGCCGUCAGCUUCUGGGUAGCUGAUGGCAAAGAGAUUCUUUGCCGUCAGCUAGCAGACGGCAAAGAGCUGGCAGAUGGCAAAUUAGCUGAUUCCAGUAGUGAGUACCAUAUUUGGCUUACAUGACCCGGGGAGAUUUGCCUGAGGAUGAAACUUUGGCCAGACAAAUAACCCGGCGGUCUAAGUCAAUGGUCAUUAAGAGCUGGCAGAUGGCAAAUUAGCUGAUUCCAGUAGUGAGUACCAUAUUUGGCUUACAUGACCCGGGGAGAUUUGCCUGAGGAUGAAACUUUGGCCAGACAAAUAACCCGGCGGUCUAAGUCAAUGGUCAUUAUCAAUGGUGAGCUGCAUCGCCGUAGUGUUACUGGAACGUUCCAGCGUUGUGUUUCCCCUGAGGAGGGUCAAGAAAUCUUACGUGAGAUUCACGAAGGGGAUUGUGGCCAUCAUGCCGGCUCAAAAUCUCUUGUGGCCAAGGCUUUUCGUCAUGGUUUUUACUGGUUGACGGCUCAUGCUGAUGCGGAGGACUUGGUCAGUAAAUGUGAUGGUUGUCAGAGGUUCUCACGACGGGCUCACGUGCCGGCUCAGGAGCUGAGGAUGAUUCCAAUUACCUGGCCGUUCGCGGUCUGGGGGUUUGAUAUGGUUUGGCCUUUUAAAAGGUCUAAAGAUAAGAAGACGCACCUCUUGGUGGCGGUUGACAAGUUCACAAAGUGGGUUGAGGCAGAGCCAGUUAGCAAGUGUGAUGCAGCCACUGCGGUUCAGUUCAUGAAAAGGGUGAUAUUUCGCUUUGGUUUUCCACACAGCAUCAUAACUGACAACGGUACCAAUCUGUCUAAAGGCGCCAUGGAGGAGUUUUGUCAACGAGAGCAUAUUCGACUUGAUGUUUCAUCAGUGGCUCACCCUCAAUCCAAUGGUCAAGCCGAGAGAGCCAAUCAGGAGAUUCUGAAAGGCAUCAAGCCCCGGCUUUUGGUCCCUUUCAACAGACGCCGGGUUGUUGGGUAGAGGAGCUACCCUCCGUGUUAUGGAGCAUCAAUACUACUCCUAACAGAUCUACGGGUUACACGCCUUUCUUCAUGGUUUAUGGAGCGGAAGCAGUCCUCCCUAGCGACAUUCGUCAUGACUCACCUCGAGUGGCGGUUUAUGUUGAGGUGGAUAAUGAGCAGGCACGCCAAGAUGCUCUUGACUUGUUGGACGAACGGCGUGAUGUGGCAGCAGCUCGCUCAGCGAUUUACCAACAAGACCUGCGCCGUUAUCACAGCCGCCGGGUUAAGUCCCGGGUCUUCCAGGAAGGUGAUCUGGUGCUCCGACUCAUCCAAGAUCAAACAGAUGCGCACAAGUUAUCCCCGCCUUGGGAAGGGCCCUUUGUGGUCAGCAAGAACUUGCACAACGGGUCAUACUACCUCAUCGAUGUUCGGGAGCACAAAGAUUCGCGCAAGUCGGAGGAAGAGACCCGUCGGCCGUGGAACAUAGCUCAGCUUCGGCCUUAUUACACUUGAGCCACCGGCUCUCAUAAUGUACAUAUUUCUAUAGCCAUGUAUAUAUUAUGAUAAAUAAUAAAGCAGGACCUCUGUCCUUUUCUCCUCCAAAGGUAAAAGUGUUAUUUCCAUUACAAGAUCACAUGGUCACUUGGAGGUGGAUCCGGCUUAUGAUCGUAUUCGAAUCUAGCCGUUAACAAUAUAAUCACCUGGGGGCUUCCUGUUCAAACGUAGGUCGUAUUCGAACCAAAGAGAACAUAGCUGUCGAUACCCACUUGAUUGGCACACUGCCGAGCUCAUCAGGGAGUUUCCUUGAUCAUAUUUGAAUCAUAGCUUAACCCCCUUUGGGAACCGACGUGGAUCGUAUUCGAAUCAGUGUCGUUAAACAACUCUCAAGGUCAUUUGGGGGCUUCCUGUUCAAACAUGGGUCGUAUUCGAACCAAAGAGAACAUAGCUGUCGGUACCCUCUUGAUCGGCAUCGCCAAACCCACUGGGGGCUAUAUGAUCGCAUUCGAAUCUUAGCUUAACCCCUUUGGGACGGGUCUCAGGUCGUAUUCGAACCGGAAGCCCCUAAGUUUUGAUUUUCUGAUUUGCAACAAGUUCUUCUGGUUGUAUCAACAGUGUGCACGGUGGUUCUUACUCCGCCGACUUAACUUUGAUUCACAGUGUUAGUCACACACAAUAAGCAUUAUCAAAACUGGUAAACCGGAGUUGAGGUACCAACCUUAUUAACCCGGAAGUAUACUUGAAGGCCUGUAAGUAUGCUAUUAUGGUUACAUCAAGGAUAUAAUUGAGGACCAGUCUUUGGUGACUUGGAUUCAUAUUCCGGGUUAUAUGUAUAAGAUCUAUGAUUCUCAGUGCGGUAAGCCGCCUAGAGACUUGUGAUUUGUUUUCUUUGCAGGAUGGUUCAAAACAGCUAUUCGAGCUUAAGGAAAAUAAAUGAUCAAUUAUGACCCGGAGGAAUAUAAGGAAGCAACUUCAAUGGAGUUAAGCAUUCAACAUGUGCACGAUGGCACGACAAAGUAAAAAUGUUUGUCCUACUCUCUUACAAGACUCCCAAGUCCAAAAGGUGAGGCAUUGUUUAAACAAGCAUAACUAUGGGCCGCCUAAAGAGUCAAGAUGCUUGCUGGGUCGAAGCUUCCGGCUCAUCCCUCUCCGCUCCUCCGGCUGUUCCUAUGACCUGGAAGGUUGACGAUUUCCAGUCAAUGCCGCUCAAAGCUUCAAACUGAGCCUCCUCGUCAAUUAACCCGGCCGGGUCAACUUUUGGGGCGAAGGUAUGCUUACGAGUCAGAGGGAUCAAGCUGAUUGCUUCGUAGCGUGGAGUGGGGAUCCUCUGAUUCUCCGAGUCAUAGCCCGGCUGAUACUUGGUGAGGUCGGUGUCGUUCCCAAUUAAGGUAGCCACCGGGCGCACACUCUUCACACAAUCAGCAAAAUCUUUUUGGUCAAAGGGAGUACCGUCUUCCUUCAGACUGGGGUAUCCAAGCGCGAUCUCCGCCGGGUCUAGCUCCGGGAGGAAAGCCUUGGCCCGGCUCAGAGCAGCUAUGGCUCCGGCUCUUGCAGAGGCCCGUCACAGCUCUUGGAAGCGCUAAGGAAGAACAGCAAGCCGCCAAAGCACGUCCGCCAGGUGAGUCGGAACCUCAUUGGACAGGGCCACAACGGCUAAAGCACGCUGUGACCCGGUGUAGAGUUGCUCCACCAGGGUGUACACGGCCUUCAGCUUGGUCAGCACAUUUUGAUUGAGGUUGGCGCUUCUAGGACCUGUUUAACAACGUCAGGUAAGCCGCUAGCAAUGAUGGGGCUUAGGAGGCAUAAAGAAGGUAAACUUGUUGAAAGUCCGCAGAAUGACUUACCGAAGAUUGCGGCGACCAUCUGUGACACGUGGCGUUUUAAGCCGGAGAGUUCGGCGGUUCUCUCUGUCAAAGCAGCCUCCGCCUGUUCGGCCCGGCUGACCAAAGCAGUUUUUUCCUCGGCCCAAGUCUUCCUUUCGGUUUCAAACUUCUUCUUCAGCUUCUCUUGUGCAGAAACACUGAACUCGAAUUUGGCGUUGGCUUUCCGGGUCUCAGUCUCCUGAGUCUUCAGGCGGGUCUUCAGAUCAGAAAUUUCAGCUUCAAUUUUUUUGCAGACAGCCUGUACAAAAUCCGGGUUACAGUGAGCAUAAUUAUCGUGCAACAUUAAAGUCCCAAGCACUUUGCAAAGCAAAGACACUUGGCACUUGGGGGCUAAUGCAUAUUGAAAGAUCUGACGACACUAUGGCAUACUGGUGUAGAAAAUGCUUCGCUUGUGGUAUAGCCUGAUGUCCAACGGAUCUGACGACUUCAGCUCCUUGUGUAUCUUUGCAUAUCCUCACGUUUUCACGCUUUCACAAAAUUCAUAUUUUGUGUGGACUUGGCUUUUAUGUAUGUGAAUCACAGGUCGAACUGGAUUCCUCAGACUGAGGUAUGGAGAAACUACCUGCAGUAGUGUCCCAUUGACAAAAGCCAUCUUGGAACCAUACUAAGUUCAUGAAUGAACUAUAUGAUUCAACAUCUUGUUUGUCGCUUCUAAAGCGUCAACAUACUUAGUCAUUUGUUAUAGAAUUCGCCACAGUAUCCUGUUGGGAACAAUUUCCAACUACCGUGUCACCAUAUUGUGUAUUACACAAAACCCUUAACUUAAAUCGAAAAUCGCAUGGAUAAAAGAUGAAGACUGUAUCGAUGUAACAUUUUACAACGAACUCUUCAUGAUCUCCGCUUGCGAGAAAACAUAUCAUCAGUACUUACUCUAGUACUCAAUGACAUCUUUCACUGUUGUCCCACGAUCAGUACUUUGAUCACUUUAGUAUCCAUACUCGCAACACCAUGUAGUUAGUUCAUCAUUUUUAUGUGUUUGCUCUUUUCUUGCUUUUGUCUCGUGCCAGUGCAACAAGAUCGAUCGGAAGCUGAGUUGCAUGAGCCAGGGGAGAAGAUUGUUGAGGCUAACAGUGGGAGCAGUGCUCAUGUGAAGAAGGCAGUUAAGAAAAGAACGGCCCAGCCUCCUGAUGGUGUUCCAAAGAUGAAGAGGAUCAAGAUCGGCCGAAAAGAUGAUGCUCUGUACCAGCAGUAUGUGAUGAGUAGGUACAAAAUACCAAGAGCAAAGAAAGAUCAAGUAAUGUGAGUCCUUUUUCUGUUUGUUCCCCUUACCAAAUAUAUGGCGGGUCAGUGGCUUUUUAUAGUACUAAUCUCCUAUUCCUUUUUCUUUUCUGUCAACAUGUGUCCCUUUGUCCCAUGUUGAAAUGUUUUGCAUCCCUGAUUUCAUUGAAAUAGAGGGUUUCCACACAUCACUUCAGAACUUCCAUGCUUCAUUAAAGCCAUGAGCUGAUCUUGGCAGCGAGGUAAUGACACUGUAUCUGAAAACUUUCAACUUGGAGCAGUUGUACAACAAGAAGCCGAAGAAGUUUGCAUUCUCAGUGUUUAUGGGGGUUAGUCUUUCCUCCAUCUAGUGGUUCUUUUUUGUCACUUUCUUGCAACAUACAUAAACUCAUCUGGCUGUGCUAUCUUGUUGGAUUUUUACCCUUUUUUUCAAAGUCAAUUGGCUAUGGAUCCUGACUUGUUUGAUCACAAGAAUUGCGAAAGAGAGUUCAGAAGGGCAUGUGAAAAUAACCAUAUUUCAAAAAGCGAUCUAGUAAGUUUUUCCUCUUGGCUUCUAUGACAUUUUUUCACCUUAUUUUUCUGAAGCAUGUUAUGUAAUAUCUAGUUUCUUUAUGUUGCAUCCAGCUCCUCAUUAGUGUCGUCCAGAAUAAGCAUUGGGCGAUGGUUGUUGUGAACUUGUUGCACAAGCAAUUCAAUGUUUUCGACUCGGUCAAGAACGCCACGGAUGUUAAUUUGCUCCAUAAGGCAACCGACACUGUGGUAAUGAUAUUUGCUUGCUUUAUCAUUUUGUUUCUUUCAUCCUUUUUCAAACCUGUAUGAUUCAAAGAAAACAACCCCUCUUUUUCCAGUAUUUGAAUCUGUUUUUAUUAUGUUGCAUCCAAUCAGAUUGCCAACAUAAAGAAAGUUGCAAGCAAAGAAUCUUCAUUUCAUUUUGAUCUUGAUUGCUUUGAGAAGGUCACCCCAGAUCACCCGAAGCAAUUAACGCGGUAAGCCUUUUAUUUGUAGUAAUUUUUGUGCAAAUUACAGAGAUUUGAAUUUGUGGGUGGUUAGUGUUUAUUGAUUUUGUUGUAUCUUUCUAUGUAUUUUUUUAGUUAUAAUUGUGGCUUCUAUGCAAUUAUUUUCUUGGGAAACUUCGAUGGUGUUGUCAUGAAGCAUUUCGAUGAGGUGCCAAUUUUUAUCCCUUUCUACAAAUUGGAGCAUACUGUUGUUCUACUUAGGAGCUUACCAUUUUCUUUCUAUCCAUUCUUAAUUCCCUUUUUUCAUUUCCAUUGUCACAGAGUUGCAUCCCAAACCUCCGGAAACGUAUUGCAGCAGAUCUUAUCAAGCAUCCCAGCAAUACGUUGGACCCUGCAGACCAGUUGAAGAAGUUGCUGGAACUUUGAUUGAACAUCGAAGACCAUUUUUCAUCAUCAACAUCAAGGGGGUGGAUGGAGUUCGUUCGUUCUUCCAGGGAGCUUUUGUGUCUGUCCUCAACUAUCUUGUGGGUUGUAGUUCACAACUUUUGUUGUAAACAAGAAUGUAGACUCAGUGUAAUGGAUGCAAAACCUCUUGUUGGAUUGGUACUUCUGUUUAGACACGCCCAUUGGCAUGGGUUUGACGUGUUUUCAUGUCUUGUAUGGAUGUUGAUAUAGCACAUUUUAAUGAAAAUUUUCUUCUGUACCCUCACUUGCUUCUUUUAGUAUACCUUUUUUCUUUUUUUGUCGAAGACGAAUGCAACAUGUGCUCAUGUGAUGAAUAUACGAUCACUUUUUGGUAUUAUUUUUAUAUAGUUUUGAGUUUAUUGAAAACCAAUGUCAUAGGUUCUAAUUUCUAACUAGGUUUUAUAUACAUGUUCACAUUUUUUUCCUUUUUAUUCUUUUUGAAAUGCUUCUAGGAAGCAGUCGAACCCCUAUAGCGAAUAUUUUUAGUUUCCAACUCGUCGCUUCUUUACGCAAGGAGCAUUUUUUCUACUCAAGAAGUGCAAGUUUUGUUGCAUAAAUAUGUUCACUCAGUAACUCUGUUCUCCCAUUGAAGCAUCAGGAUAGCUUUCCAACCAUGACUCUGCUCUUAUUUUCAGUUUGUCUCAGUGGACCAUCAGUAUAAGCAAGCACAAAUAUAUAGACAAAUUUAAUAAUACCUCAUUAUUUUUGUCCAACACCGUUAUGUAGACAGAAACAAAACAAAAUUCUGUGAAAUUAAACGCAUUAUAAGCACUGUAAAUAUAGGUAUCCUCGGUUGCCCAGCACACAAUUUAAGCACAAAUGUUGUUCAAAUAAGAGACUUCUUUUUACACGUUUGAAGCAGGCUUUUUCUCAUGUGGACAAAAACUACCAUGAAAAGACAGUUCAUUUGAGAUUGUAUACAUUAUGGAGGGACACCAAACACUCUAGGAAAGCAUUUUCAGUCAUUUUUCUUCUCUUAAUUUGUUCUUCAGAGCCUAAGCUCUAUUGCUCUACUGACACCAGCCUCCAUAGACAUCGCAGCCCUUAGGUAGGGACAAUGCUUCACUGCAUGAUCAGGCUCGUUACAGUAGUUGCAUUUCUAGACAGCCAUCGCAGCCUUCAACAACUCACAUGUUACAACACUGUGAUCAUCUUCUUUGCAAUACGAGCAGAUAUCUGUUUUCUUCUUUGGUCUAGGUUUCCUUUUGGGCUUGGUUUCUUUCUUCUUCUCAUCUGUUUUUGCCUUCUUCUUUUGAGCAUCUUCUCAUUGCUCAAGUAAAGUCUUUCUUCUCUUAGACUUCUCCGUCGGUCGCCCUUUCUUCGGCACACGUGCUGGGUUUUGAAGCAUGGGUACCUCCCCGAUAUCGUGUGCUAUACAUGUGUGGUAGCCGCUUAUUGCUACUGCGUGGGGCAAUCUGGUUGCUUCUUUCUUGGAUGUUUUGGCUGUUGUUGCUUUGGUUCAAGUGGUGUUUGUAGCUGCUGCAUUUGGGGAUGUUUUUGCUGAUGAGUUGGCCCCCUUUGAUGCAUUGUUGUUUGCUGCCUUCCCCCUGUGUUGUGCUCUGAUGUUGAUCUGGUUGCUGCUAUUGCGCUUCCUGCUGCUCUGGUAGUUCCCCUCUCCUUGCUGCAAGUAUAAUGGGCUCAAGCGCAUGAGCUGCAUCAUUUAGUAUUUUGUAGGCAACAUCAUUGCUACAAGCUUGGGAGGCCAACCAUGUGAAUUUUCUGCACAACGAGUUGUACUUGAGUGUAUUGUUUGAAGGGAGCGCGAAAUCGAGAAGAUGGCCGCUACCACCUGUUGGUGUUGUUGCUCGUUCUGACCACCUUUCUAGCAAGUAGUGCUGCGGUAUAGCUUGGACAUUGAGGUGGACCAUUACUCUAACGAUGUGUGCACAUAUGAUUCCAUUCAUCUCAAAACAAUUGCAGCUGCACUCAAAUGUCUCUUCUGCCAGCACAACAUUCACUGUAAAUAUCUUGGGGUCUUCAUAGUAAUUUGAAAAGAGCACAAAUCUCAUGCUUCCAAUGUCAGGAGAAGGAACUUGGUUCAUCACAAACCCUGUGGAGGCAGUCACUUCUGCUUGAAACUUGCCAAACACGUUGCGGGUGUAGAAACCAACUGCCUGACGCUCAAUUCUGUACCGUGAGUAAAGCGGGGUUGUGGUUGCUGCGCCAAUGAAAGCUUGGUUGUCCUCACGGUCUAGCAUAGUCUCUUGCAGCACCUCAUACUGCUGCACAAACCUCCACACCGAGUCAUGAGGAUUAAAAAUGUCUUGAAGUAGGAGAUUCACUACAGGAAUUAGCUACUUUGCCGUCCGCCAAGGCAGACGGCAAAGGCAUGGAUGGCGGACGGCAAAGGCCUUUGCCGUCUGCCGCGGACGGCAAAAGGCGCCGGCAGAGAUAGCAUCGGUAAAGACCUUCGUUGCCGUCUGCUUUCUGAAGCGGACGGCAAAGGGGCCUUUGCCAUCAGCGGCUGACGGCAAAGAAAGCCGACGGCAAUAAAUUCGUUGUUAGUCCGUUAGGUGGCUAACGGCAGUCUUUGCCGUCCGUGGCUGACGGCAAAGAGUAGGCGGCCUUUGCCGUCGGCCAAAUGACGUCAGUUGAACAUCACUGCCCACCAAGGCUUUGCCGUCCGUCACUGUAGGCAAACUGACCAAAUGGGUCAGCUUCCAGGAAACACAGGUGGCUGCCACGUGGCUUCUUUGCCGUCCGCGGCGGACGGCACAGAGCCCGUUGCUGUCGGUGGCAGACGGCAAAGAGCCUGCAUUGCCUCUUUUUCUGUUUUUUUAAAUCCAACAAUUUUCACAGCAAAUAUAUAUGACAUAUAUAUAUAUAUAUUUCACAGGGCUAUUUCACAGCAAACAUAUGACAUAUCCAGCACAUAAGUUUCAUCGUACAUACAUAUAUAGUUCUAUCCAUUCAUACAUAGCAAGUUGCACAUACACAUUGUUCCAUCCAUACAUAUUACAAUGCAAAGUUUCAUCAAGAUAGCAAGUUCCAUCAUAGCAAGCUAGAAGAAUACUAGAAGAGAAUGAAGGAAAAAACAAGCACUCCAUCAUACCAAGCUAGCUUCCAUGAAGUGAAUGAAAUCUGCAAAAUGGCAAAUAAGAAAGUUAGAAAAAGGUGACUAGAAGAAGAAGACUAGAAGAAGAAGUAUAUGUCAUUUAUGAGCUAACUUAGGUGAAAUGGAUAACUUAGGUGAAAUGGAUCAUUUAUGAGCUAACUUAGUUGAAAUAGAUUGUUUAUGAGCUAACUAAGGUGAAAUGGAUCAUUUAUGAGCUAACUUAGUUGAAAUGGAUCGUUUAUGAGCUAACUAAGGUGAAAUGGAUCAUUUAUGAGCUAACUUAGGUGAAAUGGAUCGUUUAUGGGCUAACUUAGGUGAAAUGGAUCGUUUAUGAGCUAAUUUAGGUGAAAUGGAUCGUUUGUGAGCUAACUUAGGUGAAAUGGAUCGUUUAUGAGCUAACCUAGGUGAAAUGGAUCGUUUAUGAGCUAACUUAGGUAAAAUGCAUCAUUUUAGAGCUAACCUAGGUAAGAUGGGUCAUUUUGGAGCUAACCUAGGUAUAUAAAAUGGGUCAUUUUAGAGUUAACCUCAGUAAAAUGGAUCAUUUUGGAGCUAACCUAGGUAAAAUGGGUCAUUUUAGAGCUAACUUGGGUAAAAAUGGAUCAUUUAUGAGCUAACUAAGGUAAAAUGGGUCAUUUUAGAGCUAACUUAGGUAAAAUGGAUCGUUUAUGAGCUAACUAAGGUAAAAUGGAUCAUUUUAGAGCUAACUUAGGUAAAAUGGAUCGUUUAUGAGCUAAGUAAGCUAAUUAUGCCAUUUUUGACAUAAGUAAGCUAAGUACAUGUCAUUAUUGAGCAAACCUAGUUAACUAAGCAUAUUAGAGCUAACUUAGGUCAUUUUGGAGGAAACAAAGCUAAGUAUAGAUCGUUUUAGAGCUAACUUAGGUAAAAUGGAUGGUUUUGGAGGUCAGUAAGCUUAUUAAGUCAUUUUGGAGGAAAUAAAGCUAAGUCUAGGUCUUUAUGCAUUUGUUAAGCAAAACACUAGAGAAACUUACCGUGAUCAUGGAGGUGUAGGAGCGGGCUGGCUCGUGCCGGUAGCUGGAGAAGGAUCGUGCGAUGCUUGUCUGGAGUUACGCUGCACCAAAGAUCAUUUCCAAUGUCUCGUUAGCAUGAUGACACUCAAAUGUUAAGACUAGCAAGUAAUGUCCAUUCAAAUUAAACUCGCCAUGGUCCCAGUAGCAAUCUUUGGCAUCGGCAGAGCGGUCUGACCGGACUUCUCGCACACAGACUGCACAUUUGGUUUUGACGACUCAGUCAUACUAGUUAGUAAUGAGACAAACACUACAUGAAUGUUUUGGCUAAUCUGCAGAAGAAACUUACCACAAGGAGCUCGUACAUGGCCCUUGCCUGCAUGUCAUUCUGUGCCCUCUCCUCCUCCAACAUCUUUGUCGUCCUCUCCUCCAACUCCCGCUGCCGCCUCCGCCAGAAGUUUCUCCGUUCUAUCUCUCUCACUCUGUAUAGCAGCCUGCAACACCACUCCUCAUUAGCAUUUGUAAUCAUUGAUGGAAGCGCACACAAUGUACUGGAGAAAGAUAGCUGAGUACGUAUAACUAACCUUAAAGGCGAGUUGGACUGGCCGUUCACGAGGCCUUACCUCAGGAGCGGAGCUCGACUGGCGUGCCUUGAUCUCCGGGAGAGUGCUAGGACAACGGAUAAGUCCAUCUCCAAUGGCUAUCGAGCCAUGGGACCUCCCGCCACCAGCUAUCAUCACCAGCUCUGGAUCAAUGGGACCCUGGCUCGGGUUAAAGUCCUCCCCUUUCCUCGCCUUCCCCUGAUCUCUAUAUUUCACGAGCUUGUCGUGGGAGGAGAUGUUGGUGAAGUUGUUUGGAUCAUCGAGGUCAGACGGAGAGAAUGCCUUGACUUUCUUGUAAGAGGCAGUAUGGUCCAUGGCAUAGAGGUCGUACACCUCUGGCACCUUAUCCGCCUUAUUGUAGCGUGCCUGAAAGAGAGAAACAAAGUAAAUUAGUAAUUAAAGGGCUCAAGCUAGCAUGAUGAAUGAAUUGCAUGAAUCAUGAAGCAAACCACAUACCCAGUUCUGCCCGAACUGAUAUAAGUUGGAGCUGCCUUGAUGGUGUGGCACACCUUCCAUUUGGGCACGUUUGUCCUUGGCCUUGUUGUGGACGGCUAGCCAUUCUUUUGAGCACCACUCAUUGACCAACACCUCCCAACAAUCCAUCCGAUCCGCACACCAUCUCGGAGGCGCCUAAGUUAGCAAAUAGAAACUUGAUCGCUACGGCUAUGAAUUACUAAAUGAAGUAAGUAAGUGCAAGGCCUUAAGAAUUACCUUCAUGUACUGCUCCUUACUCAGGAACUUCUCGCGGCACGCCGGCUUGGGCUUCUUGAUACCACGCAAGGCGUAGUAGUCUCGAACAGCCUGCACCCGAGCCUCGUGCCGUAAGUUCUGUAGUAGGCGCUUGCAGACGUUAUCGAUAACAUUUGCCACUUCCUCCUCGUAUCCCUCCUCGCACCUGUAGAAUGUCUGCAAUCAAAUGAGACAAUAUUGAUUAGUAAAAUUAAUAACUAGCUAGUUGAACAUUUUUAAUUGUGUAAAGGAGAAAUUACCUAGAACUUUCUGAUCACCACGUCUGCCCUCGUGUCGCACAAGACACCGUCGAUAAUCUCACCCGGCGGGGCCGGGGCAGCCAAGUAGUGCUCCCAGCUCAAUCCAAGCUCUGGAAGCCGACCCUCACCAGGCAACGUGACAAACCCCGGGAAGUUUUGCCGGCAAAGCACUCCAAGGACGGAGUUGGGCCGGCGGACUUUCUCAUGGUGGUCCCAACCCCUGCAGCAUGACAAGGCCAACGCAUUAGAUAUUUGAAGAAACAUGAAUGCAGAAGGUACAAAAAGAUUAAAUGCACUUACCUCUCCCCAUCAGGGAAAAUCAACCACCUCUGCUCGCGGGUCGCCGGCACGGACGGGAGCCGUGUACAACCACGCUGGUAGACGGUGCCCCCCUCCUCCUCAAUAUCAGUCGUCUCCCCGCCAUCAUCAGCAUGGCCACUUGGCCCCUCAGGCUAAUCCGGCCAGGUACCCCAUCCAGACGUGUGCUCGUCCGGGGUCUCGUGGGCUGAAGGCCCGUCGACCCGAGGCUCGUGGGCCGAAGGUCCGUGGACCGGAGUCCGUGUAGCCUCCUCCUCGGACGAGUCCACCCUAGCAGUCACGUGCUCGGGUGAAACAGCCGGGGGUGGCGGCGAGGAAGGCACCCUAGCAGUCACCCUACCUCCUCUCCCGCGACCACGUGCUCCAACUCCUCUCUUCUUCCCUCCCUUACCUCGUCCCCUGCUGGGCACCGCGGUCGACGAAGAAGGGCCCGGCGGUGUCGCCAUACUGUCCAGCAACGCUCGACGGAGAGGUGCGUGUGGAAUGGAAGACCUCCCACCAUGCGCCGACGAAGAAGGGGCCUCGGAACGCUCCGGACCAGCGCCCACCAUCUUUCAACACCUAUCAUGACAAAGAGUAAACGAAAUUACUACAACAUAAAAAAAAUACCGACAUGAAUAAUAAUAUGUAUAUCACUUGCACAUUUAAAUCAAACAUCGCAGCGAUGAAACAACUGCGCAGUUAAAUCUACCUGAUCAACACAAUUAUAUAUGAUGUUUUCCAUAACAAAAUCGAAAAAUAUAUGACCUAACUCACACAAAUAUAUGACCCCGUCGGCCUCUGGUGUCGUGGGUGUCGUGUCGGGGCCGGGGUGCCGUGUCGGGGUCGGGGUGCUGUUUCGGGGUCGGGGUGUCGGGGUCGGGUGUGGUGUCAGGGUGUCGGGGGUCGGGGUCGGGGUGUCGUGCCGGGGNNNNNNNNNNNNNNNNNNNNNNNNNNNNNNNNNNNNNNNNNNNNNNNNNNNNNNNNNNNNNNNNNNNNNNNNNNNNNNNNNNNNNNNNNNNNNNNNNNNNNNNNNNNNNNNNNNNNNNNNNNNNNNNNNNNNNNNNNNNNNNNNNNNNNNNNNNNNNNNNNNNNNNNNNNNNNNNNNNNNNNNNNNNNNNNNNNNNNNNNNNNNNNNNNNNNNNNNNNNNNNNNNNNNNNNNNNNNNNNNNNNNNNNNNNNNNNNNNNNNNNNNNNNNNNNNNNNNNNNNNNNNNNNNNNNNNNNNNNNNNNNNNNNNNNNNNNNNNNNNNNNNNNNNNNNNNNNNNNNNNNNNNNNNNNNNNNNNNNNNNNNNNNNNNNNNNNNNNNNNNNNNNNNNNNNNNNNNNNNNNNNNNNNNNNNNNNNNNNNNNNNNNNNNNNNNNNNNNNNNNNNNNNNNNNNNNNNNNNNNNNNNNNNNNNNNNNNNNNNNNNNNNNNNNNNNNNNNNNNNNNNNNNNNNNNNNNNNNNNNNNNNNNNNNNNNNNNNNNNNNNNNNNNNNNNNNNNNNNNNNNNNNNNNNNNNNNNNNNNNNNNNNNNNNNNNNNNNNNNNNNNNNNNNNNNNNNNNNNNNNNNNNNNNNNNNNNNNNNNNNNNNNNNNNNNNNNNNNNNNNNNNNNNNNNNNNNNNNNNNNNNNNNNNNNNNNNNNNNNNNNNNNNNNNNNNNNNNNNNNNNNNNNNNNNNNNNNNNNNNNNNNNNNNNNNNNNNNNNNNNNNNNNNNNNNNNNNNNNNNNNNNNNNNNNNNNNNNNNNNNNNNNNNNNNNNNNNNNNNNNNNNNNNNNNNNNNNNNNNNNNNNNNNNNNNNNNNNNNNNNNNNNNNNNNNNNNNNNNNNNNNNNNNNNNNNNNNNNNNNNNNNNNNNNNNNNNNNNNNNNNNNNNNNNNNNNNNNNNNNNNNNNNNNNNNNNNNNNNNNNNNNNNNNNNNNNNNNNNNNNNNNNNNNNNNNNNNNNNNNNNNNNNNNNNNNNNNNNNNNNNNNNNNNNNNNNNNNNNNNNNNNNNNNNNNNNNNNNNNNNNNNNNNNNNNAAAGAGGGGGCCGUUAGGUUUUUUCUGAGCAGCUCGUUAGUGGGGCCCACCUCUCUCUUUGUCGUCCGCCAGCUAACGGCAAAAAUUCUUUGCCGUCCGUUUUCUGUAAGCGGACAGCAAAGACCUUCUUUGCCGUCAGCCAGCAGACGGCAAAGAAUUGGCGACGGCAAAUAAGGUAAUUCCAGUAGUGUUUAGUCCCUCUGACCUCCCCGUAGUGCUUGUAAAGGGGAAAAACAGUUCCGGAAGAACGUUGGAGCCCAGGUUUCACGAGUCUUCCACAUGUUGCAUAGAUGCCUAUUGUCAACCAGGUCGAAGCAAUGUAUCAUGUGCUGCCAAUUCUCUGCAAAUUCAUCAACCGUGUCAGAAUCAUUGAUGCAAGUGUAGAAAGCUUGCUCAAAAACCUCAUCCCUACUCAUUAUCCUGCCCAACUUCUCACGCGCUUUUCGUUGGACGUGCCAUUUGCAGCAUCUAUACACCGUAUUGGGCAGCACUUGAGAUAGGGCAGUUUCCAUGGCCUUGUCCUGGUCGGUCAUAAUGUUCAAUGGGUAUUCAUUGUUCAUCGCAAGCAAAAAAUGCUGGAACACCCACUUGAAAGUUCAAUCUGUUCAUUUGACAGCAAUGCACAACCCAGCAACAUUGUUUGCAAGUGGUUGUUCACUCCAACAAUUGGAGCAAACGGCAUGUUGUAUCGAUUUGUGCAAAAUGUUGUAUCAAAGAAGAUACAAUCUUUGUACUUGGGGUACAAUGCCCUUGUCCUCCCAUCCACCCAAAAGAGUCCUGUGACAGAGUUGGUCUCCUUGUCAACUGUUUUUGCAUAGUAGAAUUGAGGGUUCUCAGCUUGCCGCCUCUCAAAGUACUGAAUUGUGAAAUCCAUGUCUCGGAGGUUUAGGUUUUGUCACAGCUUGGACCGAAAGUUUGAAACAUCCCUCUUGACAUAUGGUAGUAUCCUGCGGUCUCCGCCACGCACCCUUCUAAGCAUUCCCAUGCACGAAAAAGUUGAGAAGUUUACAUCAUGCAUAGUCAUUAUGAGAUCCUUAUCUUCUUCCAGGAUUUUGCGGUGUGAGCGGUAGUAGCGUACAAGCUCCGCUGUGGCAUUAGAGGGUGCGUAUGCUCUGCAACAAAAUGUGAUACAGCCCAUUUAUUGCCUUUGAUCCCAACAAUCAGGUGAGCUUUGCAAUCAUGUCGCAGCAGCCGAUUCUUUUGACGCUUGCUGCCGACAUCCAUUUCAAACCAAUUCUGUUUGCUAGACGAUGCUGCUCCCAUUGAGAUCCCUUCAUAAGAAGUGCUACUGUCCCCUUUACUUUCCGGCUUCCCUGCGUGCACACACUAGAAAACCUUCUUGAUAAGUGUCGGAGGACCUCUCUUUUGGCUUUUUUAGAAGCGCAAAUGCAUGUGCCAAAGCCCAUCUUGAAUGCAUAUUCAUUGUAAAAUUCUUUGGCAUCAUCAAUAGAGUCAAAUUCCAUGCCAACAUAGGGCAUAAGCGGCUGAGAUGAAAUAUCAUCAUCCUCUUGAUCAUCAUCAUGCAUUGCAGCGGUUGAGUUGUGCCCGGCAUAUGAAGACAUUCCUCCAUUUAUUGCAACAUGUGGUUGUGCAUAGCUCUCCUCACCUCCUGUCUCUUCACCAGCACCCUAAAUGUCCAACAAAAGUCAAUACAUCAGGGAUUUUAGUACUAGUACCAUUUGUCUUCUAUGCAACAGUAUUGUAAAUGCUCAAUUAUAUCAGUUAGUAAUUACCAUUUCAACAGAAGAAGGAAGAAGCAAGAAGCAAUCAUGCACAAUUUUUCAGUUCAACACUUCAUAGUGGAAACAAUGGUUUCUGGAUUUUUCAACAACAACAAUCUCAAUCUACUGCACCACUGUAAUCAUCAAGGCAAUGAAAACUAAACUUUUCUGAACUUCUUCAUUUUUUUUUUGCAGAAGGAGUUAAGUUAAUGAAACUAAACUUUCUGAACUUUUGGUAUUUUUUUGCAGCAGCCUACAGUUUUUGUUUCUGAUAUUUUUUUCAAAUGCACCACUGGAAACAUAAUACUACUAAUACUAAUGAAACUGAACAUUUCUGAAAAUUCUUUCUGAAUUUUUUUCAUCGACAGUAUACUGAAGCUGCAUUACCAACUGAAGCUCCAUUACUAACUGAAUCUGCUGCAUUACUAACUGAAGCUCCAUUAAAAUUCUUUAACUGAAUCUGCUGCAUUACUAAUUGAAGCUGCAUUACCAACUGAAGCUCCAUUACUAACUGAAUCUGCUGCAUUACUAACUGAAGCUCCAUUACUAACUGAAUCUCCAUUACUAACUGAAGCUCCAUCAACAGUCAAAUUACUAACUGAAGCUCCAUUGCAACAAAUAAUGCAAGCAUGUGCGCUAGGGGUUUUCUAAGGAACUUACCCAAUAUGCAGAGGAAUUGACUGUAGCUGCGGAUGGUGGUUUUUCUGGGAAGAACACCGCCGGAUUUCGGUAGCUGCUCGCCGCAGGUGCUUCGUAGCUCGCCGGAGUUGGAUCCGUCCACCUGGAUGCAGCGGAUCCAUGGGAGGUUGGAGCUGAGACGGAGGCGAGCAUAUCCCUGUAGAUAUGUUGCGCCAUCAGGGUCGAUGCAGGGGUCGGGGGAGACGCGCUGCGAUGAUUCGGGGCAGCGGGGCAUUGCCGGAUGUCCUGCAGAUGUUCAGUUUUGGCGGCGGAGCGGCGCCGGAGGGUGGGCCGCUGGGGGUGGGGGAGCGGCAGCCGUCACCGCCCGCGAUCUGCGGGGGCCAGGUGAGGUGCAGUAUGUUCCGCCUUUGUUGCGUUGCAGCAUAAGCGUCGUUGCAACGGUUUGUCGAUGGCAACGGCCGCUCCUGGCCCAGUUUCUAUCUGGAUCGGAUGGCGGGGACGCGUCCGAUCGAACGGCUAUCGAGGCGACUUAAAAUUGGCAGAAAUAAGCUGACUUAUUUGUAGCAUCCGCCAAACAAAUAGCACCAAAUGGUCGCUACUGCUGAAAGACUGGUCGCUCAAAAAAAUCAGAAAAUCCCAAAAACGCAAAAGUUCAAAAAAAAUUCGGGAACUCAGAAAAGUUCAUGCAUUUGACAAAAAUCAAAAAAGUUCACGAUUUGGAAAAAAAGUUUCCACGAAUAUGGAAAAAAAGUUCAUGAAUUCAAAAAAAGUUCAUCGAUAAUGAAAACAAGUUCAAAUUAUUUUUAAAGUUCAAUAAUUUUAUAAAACUUCAUCAGUUUUGAAAAGGAGUUAAAAAUUUGGAAAAAAAGUCCAUCGAUUAUGAUAAAAAGUCAUCAAUUUUGAGAAAAAAACAUCGAUUUUGGAAUUAGUUCACAAACUUUUAAUAAUAUCUCAUCAAUUUGGAAAAAACAUAAAUUUUGAAAAAAGAUCAUGAACUUUAACAAAGAUUUCAUCAGUUUUGGAAAAGAGUUAUUCAAUUUUAUUAAAUGUUUCAUCGCAUUUGAAAAUAAUUUGUGCAUUUUGAAAAGUAAAUAUAAAAAAGGAAAAGGAAAUAAUACAGAAAAUAGAAAAUAGAAAAGAAAAAGAACAAAAGAAAACGGGUCCAGGAAAAACCAAAAUAAAUUAAAAAAGCAAACAAACCGGCCGGGAAACUUCCCAAAACCGGAAGGGGUCUCUCCCGUGGCACGCAUAGAUGGGUCGGCCCAGGUAAGACUCUUCAGCUCUAGUUAAUAAAUUGCACGUUAACGGGAGCUGAAGGCGUCAAAUAGGAAAUGCCACGUCAAUGAUCCGGGAAAUUGUUGGAAAUUGAGCGAGCGCCCUUCUAUACAAGAGGAUACACGCAACAACUGCUGCGUGAGUUUUCUGUCGGGUGCGAGUUUACAAAGCUUGCGGCAGACUUGUAGUCAGCACGUGUCGCUCCUAUGGUUCCCUUCUCAUUUUCUCCUAGCCACCAUGCAUCAUACAGUAGGACCCAUACAGUAAUACUCCCUCCGUCCGAAAAAGGAUGUCCCGUGCGUAAUACAGUGCUUAUUUUGUAAAAAGGCCCGCGUACACUCAAAAGCUAUGAAAAAAGGUCCCCGUCUCCUUCCUUCGUCCCCCGACCGUCGCCCCCCGCCAUCCCGCGGCCGGCAACUGACGUGAAACAAAUGUUCUGCCAUCAGGUAUAUAAAUAGUAAAAGCGAAAAAAAGAGUCCCGCCACCUACUAAAAUACUGACAUCUCAGACUCACCAAGUUGUCAACGUAGUAAAUAAACAAGUGAAUUAAACAAGAAAAGGCUGUCACCGACAAUUUCUUUUUUUUUUAGGUCGAGCAAAUAUAAACUGGGCUUGGCCUGCCCAGCCUAGUACAAAGAGCAGCUAAAAGAAGAGUACCAAAAGGUUGAGAGCCAGCUUCCCGCAAAGAAAAAAAAAGGUCCAGGGUCUUCCAUCAGGCGAAGAUCUUCUCCGGUGAGCGCUGCGGCAUGGACUUCCCUGGUGAAGCUUUGCUUCGCCCGAGCCUUAAAGCUGCGCCCUGCCAUGUAGCUUGCGACGGUGACCGUCGCAUUCCCUGUGCUCAGCCGGACAGUCAUCAUGAUCCUUGCUGCUGAACAGUGUUGCCGGUGUGGAGGGCAGAGGCCAUUCAGUGGAUGCCACACAGAUUGGCUGGGUAUUUUUUGCAGACUCGGUUACAUCCCACAGGCACCGCUGCUCGGAAAUGCAGGGAUGGAACUGAACAUGUCUUGGCCUGCACCACGCCUUCCACCCUCUGCUGACCAAACUCUUAUUAAGCUGGUUGAAAGGUUUCUGCUUUGGCAAAAUUUGCGCCGUAUUCCUGGAAGAAGAGAAACAACAAGCCAAGCACUGAAACUCUGGAGGGCAAGACAUCAAUUUCUUGUUAAUAAUUAAGUUGAGAUAGUGUUUCAUGGAGCUUUUUUGAACAUAAUUAACAAGGAAGCUAUUCUAUACCGAUCAACUCAAAAAAAAAAUGGUUGCACAGGUAGUCUACCUCUAAAUGAUGGCACACAUUAUAUGUACAAGCAUGCAAUCCGAUUGAAUCAUACCUGACAGAUGUGUUUCAUGCUUCCAGGUUCACCUAUCCACCAAGAGUCUGUCCUGAACUUUCAGACGUUCUACAUAAGAUGUGUAAACAAAAAGUUGUAUCAUCAGAACAAUGACUUAGAUGCCAAAGUGAAGGUAGUUAUAUGUGAUACAAGAGUAGUUUUUAUAGAAUUUUACCUGUUUGGUGGAAAAUGUCCAUAUAAAUGAUCACAGGCUGCACCGUGGAUAUUGUCGUAUAUACCAGCUGUGCCUCACUGUAUACAGCAUAGUGUUUUGGUACCAGACUGACCCACCGUUGGAAAAAUACAACAGCAGUGAAUCAUGCUGGGACACUAAAUCCAGCUAUAACCAACUUCUUUCUCAGUGGCAGUUCUCCUAAUUUGACUUCUUAGACUAUCAAUGACGCCCCAUCUAUUUGUUGAUCCAUGUACACUGAUGAGGUGCAGAUAAGGCAUUUUAGCAGAAGGAUUUAUGGCGAUUAACUGACUUGCUGCAUGCUCUGCCAACUUAUCAUUGCCACUCAAUCUGCAGCUACUCAAGAGAGAGGUCCAUAUUGCUGAAUCAGGUUCAAAUGGCAUUGACUUAACUAACCCUUCGGCCUCCUCAACCAUGCCUCUCCUACAAAAUAGAUCAACCAUGCAAGCAUAGUGCGUUAUAUUAGGCACAAUUCCAUGAUCGCGCGUCAUCGUGUCAAAGAAAUGUCUUGCUUCCUCUAAAAGACUCAUGUGGUUACAUGCAGACAGUACACCAAGAAAUGUGAUAUCAUUGGGAUCAACUUGUGCCCUCUUCAUAUUCUCGAACAUUUCAAUAGCAUUUUCACCAAGGCUACUGAAUGCAAAUCCAUGAAUUAUUGUAUUCCAUGUAACCACAUCUCUCUUAAUCAUCUGAUCAAAAAUAUUUUGGGCUGUAACCAUUUCGCCACAUUUGCAAUAUAGGCUAAUGAGUGAAUUCUGAAUUGGUAAACAUAACUCGAGUCCAAGCUUGAUAGUUGCGGCAUGAAACUGCUGACCAUGAACAAUCAUAGAAUAGUGUGCAAAACAGCUUAUGAGGCUAGAAACAACUGACUCGCUUGGGCGCACAUAUGUUAAUAGCAUUUUCUUGUACAUCCCAAUUGCAUCAUCAGUUAAACCAUUUUGAGCGAGCCCAGUAAUUAAACAGCUCCAAGUUACUGAAUCACGAGAAGGUGAUUCAUUGAAGAGCCUGUAAGCUUCAGUAGCCUCGCCUUGAUGAAGAAAACCAGCUAUCAUCACAUUAUAAGUGACAACAGUCCUUUUGUUCAUCCUAUGGAAAAGGUCCAGUGCAUCAUCCAGAUAUCCUUCUUUCAUGUAUCCAAAGAGUAAAGAUGUGCAAGACAUUACAUCUGUUUGGGGCAUACUAUAAAACAUAUCCCGUGCUUUAUCUAGCAUUCCGUUGUCUACAAACCAUGACAUCAAAGCAGUAGCUGCUUCCACGUUCUUCUCAGGCAUCCUUGAGUAUAACUCAGUAGCAUCAGUAAUUCUUCCAUCUCUGAUAUAGCCAUUAAUCAUCGAGUUCCACGAGACCUUAUCUCUUUCAGUCAUGGAAUCAAAAAGUUCUCUAGCCUCAUCAAUCUUGUCUGCAUAAAUAUAGCCACAUAUGAUGGCAUUCCAUGAACCGACAUGCUUUCUGUCCAUUUUAUCAAACUCCAAUUGUGCUUCAUCCAUGUCCAAGGAGUUACAGUACAUCGCAACUAAUGAUGCCUCGAUAAUCAGGUCAAGAACAAAUCCACACUUCACAGAAAACCCAUGAAUGCAUCUACCUCCUCCGAUACUUUUCAGACCAGCAUACGCAUUCACAACCUUAACUAGAACUGCAUUUGUCAUUUCCUCCCCAUUCCGCAUCAAUCUUCUGAACAGUUCAACUGCCUCUCUGAAUCGCUGAUGGUGGACAAGCCCUCCUAUCAUGACACACCACGACACAGAAUUCUUCACGGGCAUCGAGUCAAACAGCUCCAACGCCAGCUCCACCUCGUGCACCGUAACAUAGCCCUUUACCAUGGCCGUCCAGGACACGACAUUGCGACCGGGCAUCUCAUCGAAAACCCUGCGGGCGUCUGCUACCCGAUGGUUCAUCACGAGGCCUGAUAGAAGAGCAUUCCACAAGGCCACAUUUGGCGUGUCGACGUCAUCAAAGACUCGCUGCAGGCAACCGAAAACCCCACAGUUGGCGUACAGGGUGACGAGAGAGGCGCCCACGAACACAUUACCCGUGGAGCAGGACUUGAGCGCGAGGCCAUGGACGCAUCGCCCCAGCUCCAGAGCCUCCAGCCGCGCGACGGCGGACAGCACGGUGGAGAAGGAGGUGUGGUCCGGCCGGAGCCCGCGACGCCUCAACUCCAGGAAGGCGUAUGCAGCCUCCUGGUGCGCGCCCUCCCGCGCGUGCGCGGCCAUGAGGGAGUUCCAGGACACCACGUCGCGCCGCGGCAUUCCGUCGAACACCUCUCGAGCAGCGCCCGGCCUGCCGGCCCUCAGGUGGGCGCCCAUCAGCCUGUUCCCGGAAGCGAUGCCCUUGUCGUGGGAGCAGCCACAGAGCGCGCGCGCCGCGUCCGCCAGCGACUUGGGAGGCCGGGAGUCCACCGUUCCGAAGACGCCGGCGCGCCGCGCCGUGACACGCAUGCCGAAGAAGCUCCCGCGGCGCUGGUAGGAGGCGCGAAUAGCAGUGUGCUCCUUUUUUUGGAGGAACAGCUUCGUAAAACAGCUCUUCAUGGGCCGCGCCACGAACAUGUAAUGUUUUUUCUUUUUAAUAUAAGUAUAUCAAAAUUUCUAUAUAUUAUCUACAAAAUUUAUAAAUCAGAUUUAAAAUAGAAAGUGUUAUGUGUUCACAUAUAUGCGAUAAUAAAUGUUCCUAUAUUUGAAAACAGUUGCUCACAAAAUUAGAAAACCGAUGUUCACAUGUGUGAAAAAAAUUGCUCUAUAUACUUCAGAAAAGCCAUUCAUGGAAUGAAAAGCUGUGAACUGGAUUUCCGCGGAUAACAGCAUGAAUGUGGAGGAGAUGCAAGCCUCAUGACAGGCCACAAGGUUGGACCCGAUAUUGCAAAAGUCGGGCAUGCGACUUACCUUUGUAUGUGCUUGACGGGUGGCUCUGUGCUAGUUUCCAUCAAAUAAAAAAUGGUUUAUUACUCUCGGCUUCGGCGUUAAAGAUGCACAGAAGAUACUGAAAAUUCGAGCAUGCCAGGGUGACUUCUACCUUUUUGCCUUUUUACUGACCUGUAGGUGAUGCCCACAGCCCACCUAAGAUGAUCGCGGAGUUGGAUGAGGAAGAAAUAAGCCGGGAACAAAAUGUUUGCCUUCUCCAAAGAAAAAAAGCAUACAAAUAUUUUGUUUUAACCAUGCAUAAGAACCGCAUGUGGUCUAUCAGGGAGAAGGAAAACCGGGGAAAAACCCCAAGGAGUACAGAAUACACGACCAGAUGAUUUGAAGGAGAACCUCGGCAAACUCUUCCAGACACACAGACAAGGAAAGGAAAGAAAGAAAAACAAAGAUUUUUAUCCGAUGAAUCAAUCAACUUCCUAGUAGGAAAAAAAAAUUCCCUUCAGGAAUACCUUGGAGGCAAAGAGGCCCUAAAUUCACACCAAGAAGUACACAGGCAUGUAAAAACUUGAGGGGGGGCUGUAAUUGCGUGGAGUUUAUUACGUGCCCGCUGUUGGAUCCGAUGCAAAAUUAAACGUCGCUUGGCUUCCCUGCCUUGCGCAUGCCAGCCAGGUGAGGGGAUCCCGAUCCGUGAUGGCGCGGUACUGUGGUUGCUGGUGCCUUGAUGAGGAUGCGUGGAGGAGGGAGCAGAGCAGGGGACACUGUGGCCGACGGCAACGUACCGCGAACUGUACGUACGUGACCGUGAGUGCGCCAUCGAUGCCAUGCCAUGUGCGCACACACACACGCUGACACGCACCUCACCAGCGUCGCGACUCGCGAGAGGCCACGAUCGGCGUACAUGGCCGCAUCAUCGAUGCGUGAAUUGAAGGCAGGCAGCCCCAAACCCAAACCAGCCCAGCAGCCCUGCCUGCCACCGCCCGCCCCAGCAGCAGUCGAUGGAGAGGACGGCCAACGGUGCCGCCCGCCCGAUCCGAUCCGAUCGUACGGGUCGAGUCGGCCGAGCCGAGGGAGGGGCCGGGGCGUCCUCCCUUCAUUCUUCAAUGAUGACACCUACGUGCGUGCGUACGUUGAUGCCCUCCACUCCACUGUGCAUCCCCAUGCCGCCGGAGUGCCGGGCACUGGUCACCCAUAAAACCCUCCGGCAUCGCCAUCGAGUCCACCAUAAACUCCUCCGUCGUCCCAGUAGGCCAGCACGGGGGGGCUCCGGCCGGCUCCAUCAUCAAGGAGGUUAGGUUCCUUCCACCGGCAGGCCCGGCACGGCGGCUGGUGGGCCGUGAUGGGUCAUGGGCGCGCGCCGGGCGGUCAAGGUCGGGUUCGGGUUUGGGUCUGUUUGUUGCUGGCAUGACACGACGGGCCAGGCACACCAAGUGCGGGCGGGCGGGUUUCCUUGAGCAGUUGGUCGGUCUGCGGCGUCGCCUGCGCACCUAACGCCAGCUGUUAUCAUCCCACACAGGCGGCUGCCAAAGUGGCAUGCCCCAACACAUCUGUUUGCUGGUGAUGAUUCCGCACCAACACAUCCGGGCACGCAGUGCCUGACCCAAUGCGCGCCCGCCGCUGCAUGCCAUUGUUCACGGCCGGUAAGGGAAUCUACCUAGGGGUACCAGCUGCCGCCGCUGCGUCAAAUCCGACGUCCAACCUGCGUGCUACGAACCACCACUCAUGAGAGCGGCAUUGCACAUGGGAGCUUCAGUUUUUUUUUCCCCCGAAAAAGAGACUAGGAACGCAGUCUUCACGUCUCCACCUCCCAGUCACGCACAGCAAGGAGCUGUGCUGUGGUCGUGCCUUCUUGUUCACCAAUCAAAGCAGCAUCGCAGCGACCAAACGCCAGCCAGAGCCAGGCAAGAGACAAUCCUCCGGAAAUUCACUGCGCCAGCUGCGCACUCUGAGACAACUUCAACCGACACCCCACAAGAAAGAGCCCGUCUUCUAUCCCUCAAAAAAAAAAAAAACGAGCCCGUCUCCUCGGAGUAGCGAGCACAACAUAACUAGGGUCAAGAAAUAAAGCCCAGAGUAAAAUCAUUUGACAGAAACAACGACGGACCAUUUUCAAGCAUGGGAGGAAACGCAGGAGAGCUGCGCUGCGAUUCGAUUCAACCAACAAGACAAGAGAAGAGAGGGGGGUACUAGGUAGGAAUGUACAAAUCAUCAGGCUGUUACAAGGGAUAGGAUUUCGCCUCCACACACACAUCUGGGCUAACUUAGUACACAAAUUAUUUAUCCAUUUCGCUCGGCAUCCAAACACAUGUCAAAAAACACAAACAAUCCCAGCCGCCGCUGCCUGCAUUCUUCCUUCUUCACCAGUCAGCUCAAAUCACUAUCACCACACACAAGCCCCUGCCUUGUCCCAUAGUCGAAAUUCCACCAUUCUCCAUCCUCCAAAUUACUGAAGUACCACCAGUGAAGCUCCUCGUUCCACCCAAGGCUCUCAAAUUCCACCAUCUUCUCCCAAAACAGUUUGAACAAGCUGCCACCAUGUUCGUUGCAGUCCCCGAAUCAGAAUGUGUGUGUGGCAUAUAAGAUGCAGGUUGGGCUAUGCGGCUUGGCUUAUCCCCGGCACAAAAUAAUUCCUUCAAUCAACCAUUUAUCCCCGGCAAGAUUAGAUUUUGCAUCCCAUAAGAACCCAUGCUUGCCGUAUUUAACAUCUGAAGCGGUUAUGCACUCUCGACCGGGAACAACCCAAGGUUUCCUUCGCCAUGCGCUCGCUUUGGCCGCCACGUUGUAUGAGCCUUGACCACAUCCGCUCCAGACUCCAGCUGGAGCAGAUGGUCGCACUGGAUGGCAGAGUCUGGGCUGCCAUCCACGCAUUCACCCGAAACGUUGGUAAGUGACUGCAGCACGCUAUCACGGCAACACUCCUUCCUGUAAUCCAGUGUCAUGCUUGCAAGCUCAUGCUUUUCCAGUAUGGAAAUCGGAGCACUCUGAAAAGGGAAUAAAUAAAGCUCAGGAAUCUUAAGCAG
rnacentral:lncRNA from 1 species